rnacentral:lncRNA from 1 species
GAUGGAGAAAGCCAAUCAAAAAGUGGGCGUCACCUGUUAAAUGCUAUCCAUUCCAAAAGCCAAUGUUGGAAAUUCGGGAACCAGAAAGUCUCUUGGAAACAAGACCUUACCAGAACUCUCAUCAAUCCAAAUAUCAGACGAAGAUUUGGUCGAUGAGGUAUAUCUGAUGCCACGAGAAUUGAGAGUUAUACGAGGAGCACAUACCAGAGCAAAUACGAGUGGGACUGCGAAGAAUGAAAACUGGCAGACCAGCCUCAAUCAAGAAACUAUAGACAUGUGAGAUAAGUUUUUCUCCAAGCAGCAUCUUCAGCAAUCAGCAUCCAUGAAACUUCAAGUAAUGCUAGCAUUACAAGGCCUAGCAUUACAUAUGCUUUGGUAUCCAGUGAUAGCUCUUAUAACCACAAUACACGGAACAAUUUAAUUCCGACGAGAACUUAUCUAAUUCUUAUCUGCAUUAGAAAUCACCUGUCUUGUUGAUGAAUUAUCAGAUAAGACAUUGAUGUUAAAUGUGCUACAAAAAUGAAAACUAGACUGGAUUUGAAGGUGUUUCAAAUACAUGAUCUUGUAAAAGGCAAAGAUUUACAUAACGAGACCUCGGGAGCCUCAAAAUAGUACGAGCACUGGAAGGAAAACAUUAUUUCAGUGUUUCUGGAAGCGAAUGACAGAAAAAGAAUAAUUACAUUGAUGGUAUUUCAAUCAAACCCUGGAAGCGAUCAGAGGGGUAUUAUUCUGCAGAUAAGCACAAGCAGCUGCUACUCCACUUCCCAACUUUACCGGGUAACCCACAUCCUUGAGUAUCAUCUCCACUCCAGUAUGUUUGACAGAGAAUGAGGGUCUGAUUAAGGAAUCAGGACCCAUUUGGCAGAGUUAUGACUGUCUUAGCACAAAGAGGCUAGCAUGACUGGUUAUUAAGACUCAAUUUCUCCAUCACCUUGUCAUAGUUAUAAAAGCUUAAAGUUGCAGUAGUUGAACAUUUUUGCUGGAAACUACAGCUAGAUAAUCCAUUAUAUUGUGAUCAGAGUUUAAGAGUUAUCCUUUGAAGUUUAGACAGUAGAAGGAUUUUCAAAUCCUCGGUUUGGGUCCUUAGACAUUAUGACUCAAGAAUACGAAUACGAGUCCGCAGACAUUCCAAAGCAGUCUCUCUGCCCACAAUUACCAGGUCAAAAUGCUGAUAGGUAACAAAUUGUAAUGACUUCUUACCGUUAAUUUUAUUAUUUUUCUCCUCGAUGCAUGACUAACGAAUACAUUCACACAGGCAAAUUGUUUCAUGAUUCUUUAAUGCAAUUUGGAGGACUGUUUUUAAUUUAAUAUACACUCUUGUGGAUUAUUUGUGUGCUACUGUCAGCAGUGUCUUCAUGUCUUCAUGUACUCAAGUAUCCUUCUUGGAUUUAUUCUUAAGAUGGUGUUUCUGAAUGAUGUUUAAUGAAUCACUACAUGCACAUGUCAAAGGAUUUGAGAAAUGAAGGUUACCUCGUUCAGGUUGCCGAGAUGCCCUAUUCUGAAAACCUUGCCAGCUACUUUGUUAAGGCCCAAACCUAAGCUUAAGUUGUAUCUUUUCCAUCCCCUCCUAACAAUUUCUGCACUAUCAAUGUACGGGGGAACAACUACAGCAGUCACUGUGUCACUGAACCAUUCCUCCUUUUGAGUACAGUUCUUCAAGCCCCAUGCCUCCACAGCAAGCCUACAUUUUAAAAUUCAAGGAGUCAUGAAUUGUGCAUCUGUCAGACAAUUCAAUGAUUGAGAUAACUUUCUGAAAUAAUUAAAAGGAAAACAUAAAAGAAAAGGGAGUAACCUUGUUGCUUUUCCCAGACGAGCAUGCCUUUCAAACACAUUCUCAAGCCCUUCCGCAAAAAGGAGAUCCAGUGCUGCUCUAAGUCCAUACAACAAUUGGAUGGAAGGAGUGUAUGGCCAAAAUGUUCCAAGGUUGUAGAACUUCAAAUAGUCCUUCCAGUCAAAGAAGACUCUAACCGACUUUGCAGUUUUAGAUGCCUCGAUAGCUUUAGGGCUUGCACACACAAUACCCAUCCCGGUAGGAAGAGAAAGAGCCUUUUGAGAGCCAGUUAAAGCCACAUCUACUCCCCAUUCAUCCAUACGGAAAUCAAGGGCACAAAUGGAGGACACUCCAUCAACAAGGAAGAGAGCUGGAUGGCUGUAGUCAUCUGAGAAUCAUUGAAAAACACGAGAUCCAUCAUACGUGAUCAAGAUUAAAAUUAAACGAUGAAAGAACUGAAUUAUAAUAUCCAAAGUCACAGAAACAGACAAAAGCUGAAUGCUGAACCAGCUCUAUGUUGUUUGUCAAAUAAAGCAUAUAAGCUAAUCUAACAAUCCAAAAAAUUAGAAGCUUAGAACUGAUCGUUUCCAAUAAAUGGGCGAGGAAGGCUAUAUUUUCCACGUAAUUUGCACUGCAUAAUUCCACUCCCACCCUAAAAAAUCCACCACAAAGUACACUGCAGUAUGCUUCACUCAAGCAUUUUAAACUCCAUUGAUUUAUAAAUGCUAUGGAAAGCUUCUAUUAAAGCAUUUAUUAGGGAUAGGUAAAAGAAGCACUACAUCAGUACUGGAGCAGAUGUGCAAAUAUGUCUUAGAAUCAACCCUCUGUAAGAGGUACUAUUUUGCACAGCGAAUAACCUUCAGGGAACCAACAUCAAGCUUGGAGAUCAGCGGACACCGCUUUCGAGUUUCAACCAAAACUCUCGAGUAGUUAGGGAUCUUUCUCUGUAUAUAGGUGCCUCAGUCGGUCCCCAGGCAACUGAUGCAGGCCUAGCUUUCAUGUUCCAGAAGUUAGACAAACAUAAAAGGUCAACGACUGUAAUAGGAUCAUAUGCUGAAGUCAAUACAUAUUUUAACUAGUUUAUGCUGGAAAAGAUCCUUGAUUUUCUUUGGAGAAACAUCUAAGCAAGUAAUAUAACCGAUUAAGGACUAUUAGCAUACAUAGGCACUUUAUUAUUGCUGCUAAGGUUUGCCACUGACAAGCACUAGCAUAUACACUUACCAAGUAUUUUUCUAACUUUAGCCAAGUUGUUGGUAACUCCAGUUGCUGUCUCAUUGUGAACAAUGCAAACAGCCUUAAUGGUGUGUGCAGUAUCUUCCGCAAGUUUUGAGGCCAGGAUGUCAAGGUUGGCACCUUGACCCCAGUCACUUUCUACAACAUCAACAUUGAAACCAAGGCGUUGUUGCUGAUCAAUCCAGAGCAAACUGAAUUGGCCUAUCAAGAAAGACACAGUUCGAUCUCCAGGAGACAAUGUGUUGGUAAGUGCACUCUCCCAUGCACCAGUGCCUGAACCAAAAUAGCAACGUCAACUAACACAAACUACUAUUAACUGAAAUAUACAAAAAUAAAUGUCUCCAAUAAGAUGGCAUAAGUUAGCAAGCACUUCCAAAAUUCUUACGACAUAAUGGCAUUCAAGAAGUCUAAAGCAUUUCACUGUAUUUGGAUUUGUGCUCCAGAUGAAUUACAAACAUUUUAGAAUUUAAGACCAGGUCAGAUGACUGCUGCAAUAGUACCUGUGGUUGGGAUGAGAAAUGGAAUUCCUGAGGUAGUCUUGAAAAUCUUCUUCACAUCCUCAAGAAGAGUUUUUGUCAUGGCUGGAACUGCUGGUGAACGGUAAUCCUCGUUGUUCCUAUUCAUUGCCCGAAUGACUGGUUCUGGGAUGUUAACCGGCCCUGGAACAAACAGAUGAUUCCUUCCUGGUCCAUAAAAGUAGUCCAUCUUCCCCCCUGCAGAAUACCACAAACAAACUAUAUUCAUCAAAACACCUUAGCUAGAAAAUCACAGUGCAGAAAUCAGUGUUCACAACCCUCUUCGGAACAAUUCAUGUAGGUUUAUGUACUUUACUAAAUUCUUAAAUCAGGAAAACAUUAUACGUCCAACUACACUUCCUAGGAAUUUUUGUGCCAGCACACAAAGUUAAGAAAUCAAGCUGAAUUUCAUUUUACAUAGUUUCAUUUGGACAAUUCAUGCAGUGCUGUUGUAUUCAAAAUAGGCAUAACCCAAUACAAAAUACCACAUACAAUUAGAUUUUGGAAUGAAAAAGAACCAAAAACAUAAAUUGCAGUUGCAAGUGCUUUGGUAUGAAAGAAAGAAAAAUGUAGGAAGGCUGGAAGCUAUAUAUAGCUUAUUGGAAGAAUCUGUGUUAGUUUAUUGAAAGCUGUAAUUCUGCCCUUCACUCUCAGGAUUUACAACUCCUUUUCCUUUCCUUUCUUUUUUGUUUUAUCUUCCUUUCCUUUUCUUUUAAAAAAAACAACAAAACUCAAGCUUUUUCCAAGAAUUAUUGGACAUCAAUAGUCCCCUCAGCCCUAGUCAACCUUGUUGUAUAGGGUUCAUUUGACGGCAUGUACUUAGGUCUUAAUACAGGAACUGUCUUCUAAUUGCCUAAAUCUCCACCAUUCAUCCUAUGAUUUAAACUUAAGACACCCGAGUAAAAUCUUAAAGUUUAAACCACUCAGCUAUCUCCUUGGGACAUCAUCGUGAAUUUUGAUCAGUUGCUUAUUUUCUAUCAUUAAUUAAAAACUGACACUACAUAAAAUCUAAAAGAUAAUAUGGCCUUAAUUAUAUGUUUUGUCUACCCUUAGUUUCUCUGCUUCAAAUACAAAAUUAAAAACUUCUUCAAAUAUAGUUCUAUAAGGAGUGAAUAAUACAUUUGUAAUAAUGUAUAGAAAGGACAUCAACACCUUGCCUUUUCUCCCUGGUAAAAAAGAAGUUUGUAUAUAGGAAAGUAAAGCAUGCUGCGCGCUUAAUGAUCAAGGAAACCAGAAACAGUUGAUAUCAAUGUAUUCAUGCCAUCACAUCUUAUAAGAAAUUAUGAAACUCAUGCCAGUGUAUUAAUCCUGGUAAAUCAACCCUUUUCAACUCCUAAAAGUAGAAGAACCAAAACAAGAUUGAAAGCAGUAACAAGGUCGGUGUAUUUCAGUAUUUGUGUGGUCGUGUCAGUGUCUAACAAACCAUCAAAACAAGACCACACCUCUGAUAAGAGCAGAAGAUGAACUAAGAUAUAUAGUAGAUAUACUACUAGUACACACACACACAAAAAAAAGAAAAAAGAUGGGAGUAACAGGAGAAAGAGUUGUCAGGUAUAAAUUACCUGUUGUGGUGAGUUUUGAUCAAAAGUGUGUCUCUGCCUCUCCUUUUCUUUUUCCUGGUUCUUUGGCAGUGUUAGGGGAUGAGUGCCUAUAGGCUGUAGUGAAAAAGAAGCUAAAGAGGAGAAUUCAGUUUAAUAAGAGGGCGGGAGAGCCAAUCAAUGUCCCAAGUGGGGUCCUCCUUUCACUUGCGUGGCAGAUAAGAGUGAACCUAUUGGAAUCCUGCGGCUAAGAAUGACUGCCAUGGCCAACAUUUUUGGCCUGCAUCUGAUUUCCACUAACGACUGCUACCAUGUUCUUGUUGAGGGUUUUUCUUUUUCUUUAUUUGCAUCUUUGUCCUUGUAUUUUGCUAUCUUUCAAUUCUAGCUCUCAAGGUAUUUGCUCAAGUGAAGUAAAAAGUUGGAAUUAAACGUUCAGAAAUAGGUGUAGUCUUUGUUGUGUUAUUAUGGCAAGGGCAUGAGGGAAACAUAUUUCUUUAAUUGGUGGACACAAAACAAAUUGUAAGACAUCAGGGACUGAACAAAAUUAAUGGAUUAUCCAUCUCUCUUCUUCUUCUUUUCAAAAAUAAAAUAAGAGAAGAAGAAGAAGAAGAAUACCUCCCUUGUUUUGGCACGACAUGCAUAGUUUUUGGAAGCAGGUAGUAUGAGGUCGAGAAAGCAAUGUGAGAGAUAAAGUGAUAAAGUGCUAUCAACCACGCUUCACUUGUGGGAAUCAAGGCCACACAGCCCCUUUUAAUCUUGUCUCUUUACUUCCUUCUCAUCAUUUUUGUUUCUAUCUCCUGUUUUGCUUGAUAUUUUCAUGUGGGUACAAAAGGAUGUUUGAAAUUGUAGCUGUGAUGAUUUGUUAAAGUGAUUUUUAUUUAUAAAUAUAUUAAAAAUAUAUAUUUUUUAUUUUUUUAAAUUAUUUUUAAUAUCAGUUCAUUAAAAUAAUUUAAAAAUAUUAAAAAAAAAAAUAAAAUUUUUUAAAAAUAUUUUUAAAAUGAAAAAACAAACAAAAGCAUUGCUUACCUUUUUUAUAUAUAAUUAUUUCUUUAAUUUUUUGACGUCUACCAUGAGCGAUGUAACAUGUUGGGUAUUAUUUUGGCCUCUCGUCUUGUACAAAUUUCUAACCACAAAAGGCAGGAUUAUGUUAUUCGAAGUGCCAAAAAAUAAAAAGACAUGCCCAGAAAUUUUAUAGACUCUUCGUGAUCAUCAGUACUAAUAACUACAACUGUCCUCCAAACAUGAGGGCUCUUCUUUGACAAGCUACCGGGAUUAAUGUCAAAUCGCAGCUAACCAAAAAACAAAAACAGCCUGCUCUAGCAGGAAGCAUGUUAUCAGCCUCCUACACUUCUCCCUUUUGAUGGGAGAUUCAUGGAGCUUUGGGAAAAACCUAGCAUCCACACAUUCAAUUAAAAAGUCAAUCGGCAUGAUAUACGAGGCCAUUGCACAGGACAUACAACACACAUCCAAAAAAUAGAGACCCAGGCUAGGGGAUAAUAUACAGGGACAUGAGAAAACUCAAAACCUAAAGGCAUCUGAAACCCUUUUUGCACAAGUAGCAUCAAUGGCAUGUAAGGACAGAGCGCUUCCUGUCACAAUCCUCAUAUACCUAAGUGUAUAUCUUUAGAUGCACAAUGUCAGCAUUCCCGAUUUCUAAUUACAAAGCAUUCCAUCCUAUUAAAAUCAGCCAAGUUGAUAGAAAUGCAUAUACACAAUAGCAUCAAUACACAGAACUUCACAAGCAAAACGUAAAUGUGAGGUGAAAACAACAGCUUUCAGUUUGACAAUUGAUCCAUAGCUAAAGCAGAUUCAUUUUUCUGCAUUACCAAAGUGAGGGCACAUAUACGUCCUUGGUAAUUCAUGCUGAUUAAGAAAUAGCUCACCACAUCAAAUAGCAGAAAGCAGAUAAAACAAUAAAUCAGACAUCACCGUAACACCACCACCUACAGUAACAAUUAGAGUAGAGCUGAAUCAGUGUAGAAACAGGUAACUAUAAUACAUGCCAUGUCCAGAAGCUAAGCAGCUUAUCAUCGUGCGCCAAGGACAGAACACAACUACUAAUAACAUAUUGACAAGUUUUAUUAGUGUCUCGACAGGAACAAUAAGGUUCAGAAUAAUGAAAAACUGAAACUGUAUUGGUAAAAGGGAAUCAAAAUUAUUCAAAACUGAUAAUGUACACUUCUCUCAAGGCAUAAUACAUGUAAUAUGUUCCGCUCAUUUAUGUAUAUUUUAAAUUGAAUGAAAUUCUAAUAUUUCUUUCACUAACUCCACUAUAUACGUAAAACCAAUUACCCAACUCAUUUCCUUGAACAAAAAAUUGCAACAAGACCACAUCCAUCCUUCUCAUGUUAAUUAAUUUUGGCCAUCCCCCCAGGCACCUUUUGUACAUUUAUGCAAAUUCCCCAUCCAACGGAUAUUUCAGAUCUGCCAGAAAGAAACUAAGUAGGAAUUGGCACCUUAUUACUCUGAUGUUGAAAAGAAUUCCACAGUAUAGCUAAUGACUGAAGCAGUGAUGGACCAUGGGAAAGCCAUGGGGCUUAUGCCUUUAAUCAGUUGCUCUCCUUCCCUCGAGCACUAAGACUACUUUAUACCUUAUGUAAAAUUUUGUUUUGGAGUAAAACCAGUUUGCCGCACUCGGUAAGGUCUCUCAAAAAAAGGCCUAUUAUCAGGUGGUCCUGCCCCAAGAAUUCCCAACGAGUUAGGGUUGGAUAAGCGGGUGCCCGGUGGUCUUUGUAAGGGGGGUUGAAUAUCAGCUUCAGCUCUUCUGCGUCGUUUCCACGCUUCAAAUUUCCCAGCAUCAUGACCUUUGUUUAUUGGUUCUGACAUUGCAUAGGCACUUUCAUUUUUAUAUCCAAUUUGCCGCUCAAAAUUCCUAGAAAGGGGAGGAAAAUUGUUGGGAUCGCUGUCUUUGUCAAGAGAACCAUAUGCAGCACCAUUGGCAUGAGAGGGUCCAGCACUUGCAUCUUCCUCCUGCUCCUGUUUAAGUUUCGAAUAAAUCUGACGAAGUUUCUCGCCAGAUAAAUUUGAAAAAGUAGAAACAUAAUUCCAUAAUCGCAUUGUCAUCCCUGGGAAAACAUUGAUUUAAAUGAAAAGAAGUGGCAGGGAACACCAAAAGUAAAUAAAAAAGGGGAAACAACUUGAACAUGUAUAGGAUGGAGAAACACAUACUAUCCUGUUUAUAACGCUCUUCCUCGUAUUCUAAGACAAUCUGGUCUAUUCUCCGUCCAAUAAGCUGUAAAUAGUUCCGAAUUUUCAAAAGCACCUGCAAGAAAAGGUUGAACAUAAACUUCUAGUAUCCAAAAAAUAUCACUACACAAUGGCCUAUCAGAAUAAAAGAUGCUGUACUUUUUCCUUUGGAAGGUCAGCGCUGGUAGUCUGCAACUUGUUAAGACGUUUCAGGGUUUUAAUUUCAUCAAACAUGACUUCUUCACACCAUUCCAUCCAUUUUACUUCCUUAAACUGCUCACAUAAUUCCUCAUUGUCUGACAUCUCACCCUCCUCUUUUACUAACUGUUCAACUCUCUGUGGUCUCUGAGGCCUAUUCUUGCUCGUUUGUACACUAACGAUUACAGACCCAGGCUUUGCUUUCUUGACCCUGUCCCGCGAAACAGAGAUGUUCAGAAGAUUCUCUCUCCCCUUCAUGGAGGCCUUCCGACCCCCUUUAGCAUUUGCUUUCUUUCCACCAAUAGCUGCAAGUUCCUGAUUGAAAAGGUGCUAGUUAUCAUCACAUAAAAUCCACCUCACUUCAAUGCAAAUUAUCAAUACACCAAAUUCACCACACGUCCAAAUUAGAUAUGCGACAGAACUAUAACGAACAAUUAAAAAAAGGCAAGCAUGCAAGUUCCUGAUUGAAAAAAGAAGUGCUCAUUAACAGUACAUAAAACCCACCUCACUUCAAUGCAAAUUAGAUAUGCGACAGAACAGUAACGAACAAUUAAAAACCACGCAAGCACUUACGGAAUUACUGCCAUCUGAUACAAGAAUAUCAUAGGCAACAGAUGAUGAAACUUCAAGUUUUAAUCUUGCACAAUUUUGACAGUCAAACUGGGAAGCUUGUUAAAUUAAUAUACUUGUGUCUUCUGUGACAAUUGUUUAAAUGGUAACAUGGAGUUUAACGAUACACAUAGCACACAACUAAAAUGGGAAACAAAAAUUUGCAAGGGAAGCUGAAAAUAUCAAGACUUAAGAUUGCACAAUUUUGGCUGUUAAACUAGGAAGCUAACUUAAUUAAUAUACUCGUGUCUGUUGUGGCAAUAGUUUAAAUGGUAGCUGGAGUUUAACAAUAUAAACAUAGCAUACAUGCAUAAUGGAGACAAAGCUUUGCAAAGGUUACAGCAAGAGACUGGAUGACAGCAUAAAGAAAGCCCUGUUUUCCAGUUUUGGCAUUUCCUGCUUUCCAAAUGAUAGCUUACCAUCUCCAGAAGUGCAUUAGCACGAUCCUUCAAAUUUGGAGCACGUGGUAAAAAGGUCUCAUGAUGCUGGAGUUCUGCUGGGGCAAUCUUCUUCGAAAGGCCAAGCCUUUCAUCUAACCGUAUCUUCUCCCAAUUGCCGAAUCCAUGGUAGUGUAUUCCCAGAAGCAAUCUUGCAUCAUCAACUAAGGAAAUACCAUAAUCAAUCAGCUAAAGGAAACAAGUCGAUUAUUAACCUCUUAAGAUAAUAAUACAAAAGAUAGGAAAUGCAUACUCUGAUUCCAGCCACAACCCUUGGACCAGUUUGAAGGCUUCAGGUACAUCAACACUCGAAACUGUGCUAUGGGAUUUUCAUAACGACUAAUUCGCUUUGCUAGUAGCUGAAGUUCUUGCACACGGCUCAAUAGAUCAUUUGCCUUCACAGGGACACCAAAAAAAUCCAACAAAGGACCCUAAAGAAAAUCCCAUUUGAAAUUGUUGAAUCAGAAACACAUUUUAUGCGAUGCAGCAACUACAAAAAGUACGCAUAGCAAGAAUAACCAAACCUUUGGGUCCAGAUUUCCAACUUCAACUGCUUCUCUACAACCAUCAACCAAAGCAUCAAAAAGCUCUAUCUGUGCAUCAGGUGGAGCUGCUGCAACUGUUCCACCAACCUCCUCAGCUAUCAAGUCUAUUUGGUUCAAGUUCCCAAACUUAAUCACCUAAUUCAAAAAAAAAAAAAAAAAAAGAGAGAGAAAAUCCAAACUUUAGCCAAGCAUGGCUAGUAGAAACAACUUCUAAUUAAAAUGAAAACAAAGAAAGGGAAGAAAAAAGGCUGUCUUAUAAACUUCCACAAUGCCAGAAGCACUCUAAGCUUGGCCAGUUCACAUUUAACCAGUUUAAUCAGCAUGGCACUUCCACAUAUUGCACAAAUUGGACAAGUUAUCAAAGAUCUUCCAAGUAGUGAGAAAAGGGGAAGAAGUUACAGGGCUCAUAUUUCCUUCCAGGUACCAAUAUAAAAAUUUCAUUGAACUAAUAAUUGUUUAUUAAUACUUUUGUUCCCAUUAAACUAUCAAUUAAAAAUGAAUUGUGGUGGAGUCUUAUCAGGAAUAAGAAUAUUUCCUGCUGUCAUCAAGCAGCUGGUGUUGGAUUCUCCAAAAUUUGACGGAAUUGAAAGAAUCCACGUUUCUCAGAUCCUAUUUUCAGGUUAACGAUAUUGCUAUUACAUUCAAUUAGAUUACUCGCAGUAAAGUAAAAAUUUGCAAAAGAGUGUAUGACAAUGGCAGAACAGAUGCAUAAUAAAACUGAUUUUGAUUAGUUAAAUUUGUCUUGCAGGUAAAGAAAGAAAAAUAGGAAAAUAUAAAAAAUAUCCAACCAACAAAUUCACAGAAUAGGAGCGAGGAGGAGGUUAAGAACCAAUCCCCACAUUAAGAAAAGAUGAAUGCACUGAUUAUAUAAUAUGAAUUAAAUUAAAAAACUCGUGAAGUUAAGGAAUCUGAAAACAUGUGUUUUUUAUCUCAACAUUUCCAACAAGAGAAAAGAUGUAGAUAUACAAAGUUCUAGACUGUCUAAAAAGGAUUUGUUUUCACUUCUAACAAUCUCGAAAAUUGAAAGAUAAAUUUGAAGCAUACCACACGAGAAAAGCGUAAAGCAUCUCUCUUAGGCAGAUUUCCAUGAGACCAUUCUCUCACUUGGGAGGAUGCUCCCUCGAUCAUUGGUGCUAAGGGGGCAGAAUAAUCUGAUUUUCGACGCUUCUGCACUCUCUCCUGUGGUUCUGGUGGCUCAGAACCUUUCUUUUUCCGUUUGUUACUUCUCCCAGGUUGAUUAUCCUCUGCAUAACUCUUAGUAUUUCUUGCAGCACGAGGAGCUAAAGCAUCCUAAGGGAGAAAACAAAUAUCACACAAAUAAAAAUAUGAUAAUUACAAAAGAAAUGAAAUGAACAUCACUAGUCAUUCAAAAAACAUGUCAAGCUGUCAUCUAUAAAAUCUUAAAUCAAAUUCAACAAAAGAGAUGCAUACCUCAGCUUCAGCUACAGCAUCUGGUUUUAUCCAACGACUCCAGAAACUCCCAUCAUUUUCGGCACAACAAAAAUUUGCAACCUGGAUAUAUUCCAAGAAUAAAAUAAUCAGCAAACUUAAUUGUGAAAGAAUCAAUAAGUAUGACAACACAUCCCCCCUAUGCCAACCACAAGUGUGCGCCCCCCCCCCCCCCAAAAAAAAAAAAAGAAAAAAGUUUGUGCUUGAUUUUACUCUCAGUUGGCAGGUAAAAUGGGGUCAAGAUAGAUUUGUCUUUUGUGCAUUUUCUUUCUUCCUCGAACUUAUAACCAUCAUUUUCUUUUUCCCAAGCACCUGGUUAUUAGACCCAAUAAUACACACUAUUUACUUUAAGACAAUUUAAUUCAAAAUUGAUACGGUGUUGCAAACCUUAACACAAUUUUAUAAACUCAUAAAAUGGCGUAGUCAUUUAAGAUUUUAGACCUUCAAAACUACCCUAAUGUAAAUGUAGCAGCAGAACCUGGAUAUAAUCAAAACAGAAAAGGUACAGAAAUAAGCAGUGGAAUUCCAACAUAGAAAAUAAUGAAUUAUUUACUUGCCUUAAAAGCACCUAACAAUUCAUUCCCUUGCUCUCCCCCAGCUUCCUUCUCCUCCACUUUCUCUGCUCUUUCAAGAAUUUCAUCAAUAUCCAUACUUAGGAGUCUUUUCUUGCUUUCUUCGUCGUUUCUGUCCUCUUUAAAGAGUUCCUCAGCCCCAAAUCUUAAAAUUGCUGAGAGCUCAUUCUGCAAUCAAGAAAGGUGAAAAAAAGUGUAAGUGCAAUAGUUCUAAGGGACAAUAGAACAGCAACUAACAGAAUGUUAGAAUGCCACGAUAAUCAUACAUACAAGAAUUCAGCCUACAAUUGAAUACCCAUAUUUAGGAUUAGAAACAUAGAACAGUACCAACAAAAAACAUGAAUUAUGGUUUGAUUAUGUUCUUACUUUAUCAAAAUAACUCCCUUUUUUUGUUUCUUUCUUUUCCAAUCUACCCUCUGCAUUUAGUUUUUGGAUCACCAAAUGGUCGAGAACCUAUAAAGAGCAAAUUUGACAAAAAAGGAUAUGUUAACUAAUAGGGUUAAAUACUAUUAUACAACAUAACAGAAAGUCGACAUAUUAGAUGUGAGUAUCAUGUGUGGAUACUAUUAUAUGCAAAUGAACAUGACUGUUAGGAUGAAAGUAAUGAAGUGCACUGAUAGAAAUCGACUCCAAGAAUCUACCAUCUUCUUCUUAGCUCUCUCUAGGAUAUCUUCCUCAACGCUCUUGCUUGUCACAAAUCUAUAGAUGUUAACAACUUCUUGCUGCCCAAUUCUAUGAGCUCUGCUCAUUGCCUGAUAAAUCAUCAAACAAUUAAGCAACAUCUGUUUCCUCUAAACUAAAUAAUUCAAUUGAUCGAAACGAAGAUCCAUGAUGGUAGUAGAGAGACUAAAAAAACAUUGAGUGAAACAAGUUUUCAUUCUGCUUAUAACCUGUAGGUCAUUUUGAGGAUUCCAGUCUGAAUCAAAUAUUAUAACUGUGUCAGCAGUUGCAAGAUUGAUGCCUAAGCCGCCAGCCCGAGUUGAAAGAAGGAAGCAGAAAUCAUCACUACCAGGUGCAUUGAAAUGUUCCAUUGCCUGCUGACGCAACUCAGCCUUUGUGCUACCAUCAAGCCUUUGAAAUUGGAACCCUCUGAGUGACAUGUAUUGAGCUAUUAUAUCCAACAUUCUGACCAUCUGCAGCAGUUGACCAAUGCCACAAUUCAUUUGUCAUUUAAUAUGCUUGUAUACCUUUUAAGGUAAAAUAAGUCAAUUUAAAUAAUAUAUCCAAGACCAAGUUUUUCAAAUGGUCACAGCACCCUGCUAAAAAUUCAGCAAGGUGUCAGUUGAGGCUAGUACUCAGUGUUUGAUUCAAUUGUGAGGUAUAACGGAAUUUUAGAAAGUGGAAAUGAAAAUGCAUCAAGGAAGUUAAGCAUCAUCAGUUCCCAAGGAAACCGCCCUGGUACUUGGAAAAUGCCUAAUCAAUUGCGUACAUUCACUAAACAAAUGAUGAGUUUCCAUAUCCAAUCCAAAUUUGACUACAUAGGCAAUAAAUCAUGAAUACCAAGAAAAUGCACACUACAAACCAUCAUUUACCCUCAUUACAGUUAAUCAGCUUAUCUACAUUUCAGUACGAGGCUGACCCAGAAUUGAAGAGAUCAUAAUAUCAUUUAUAGCUUUGAAGGGAUACCUAAGUAAUUUACAGUCAGCAAGCAUAUCUAUGCAAGGAGAAUAACAACAAAAAAGCUAAUGAAACAAACCUGGGAGAAAAUAAGGACACGAUGUUUUGUCUCGUGCAAUCUGACGAGUAGUUUGUCAAGAAUAACCAGCUUUCCACUGCUUAAGAUAAUCCUCUCCAGUUUACUGCUAUCAUUGGUACUGAUGUCCCCGCCAUAACCAUGAUCCGCACUUUCAAAUAGGAAGGGGUGGUUGCAGCAUUUCUUCAACUCUACCACAAUAUUCAGAAGUGAAACCUGAAAACAUAAAACAACUAAUAUUAUCAGUUUUCAACACAGUAAAAAACAACAUGCAGCUUCAGUCACUUCUAAUCCAUAAACAAAGUGCCUCUAAUGUUUGACUCAAAAUUCAGUGAUGUCACCAAUAGCUGUUAGAAUUACUUUCCAAGCCUAAAGUUCUAAUAAUAUUCAUGAUUUCAUCGCAGACACUAACCUGAUUGCCACGAACUCCUUUGUUCAGGUCAUGGAAGUUACGUUCCAAAAUCCAUUUAUAGUAUCUAAACAUAUGCAAAAAUCAAAAAUUACAAAAGCUGUCAAGAAAUAAUCCAGAAGAACAUCACUUUAUCACAAAUGGAAAACAUCGCUCACUGUUUCUGGAGAGGAGACAUUUCAACCCUCAAAAUGCGCUCUAUUUUGGGAGGCAAGGAUUUCUCCACAUCCUUGAUAACUCUUCUGAGAAUGUGAGGCCUCAAUUCCAUGUGAAGAUUAGCGAGCUACAAAAAACCAUAGAAACUUAAAUUAACUAAGUGUAGAAAAAUGUGUGUGUUUGUGUGUGCCAACUGUGAAGAAAAAGCAAAUACAACAGUGUAAUGUACCUCAUUUUCAUUAAAUGAGCUAAGAUUCUUAUAAUUGUGAACAAAAUCAUCCUUACUCCUGAACUUGUCAGGAUCAAGAAAAUGAAGCAGAGCCCUGGCACAUUUUGAGAAAAAACAAAAAUCAAUUAAACCAGGCAAACAAAAGAGGUCUGCAGCAACUGAGGGAGAAAACACUAGAGAGGAAAAAUUAAACAAAAAAGGGAAAAAAUCAACAAUGAACUUUCUUUGAACAAAACAGAGCAAUGAAGACAGCUCUCAUGUAAUGCUGGCUUGCAAGCCAUCAUAAACAAUCAGCAGAACCAACAUGCCAAUGACCUCCUAAUGAAUUCCAUUUUCAAAAUAUGUGCAAAAAAUAGAUUUGACCAACAUAAAAAUAUCAUAACUAGUAUCAGCAGUUUUCCCCAGACAAAGGGUGCUUAUUUCACACAUGUUUAAUAAUGUGCCAAAACAAAUAGUUAAUGAAAGAAAAUACCAAAACAAGCGAACAGAACAUGUGAUUGCACCAGCAGCUCUUAUCUGAAGAGUUGGUAAGAUAAGGACUGUAUUUAAAAAACACAGUCUAUGCUAUAAACAGUUUCCUAAACUUUAUAGGCCUUCAUAGUUAUCAUAUCUGGGGGGCAAAUUUGGCACAGGAUAAUUCCUGAAGUUUGAAUGCAAGAACAAUAACAGUGAGUUAGAGGAAAUGAAUAAAAACCAUAGCUCUUCCACACUGUUCUGCAAUGGAGUGCCAGUAAUUAGCAAUUUGUUCUUGGUGCUAAAUUCCUGCAGGAAAAAGAGAAUGAAUUAUCCAAAUAACAACUAAAUCAACCAAUCACAGCAUACAUACAAAAUACUGGCACCAAAAUUAAUUGUAAAAUGCCAUUACCAAAAGAGUUGUGUACAACUGCGCUUCACUGUUCUUUAACCUAUGAGCUUCAUCAACCAUUAAAUAAUUCCACUUAAUCUUGGACAGAACAGCCUUGUCCUUCAGAACAACUUCAUAUGUGGUCAACAGAGCACUGAAUUUUAUAGGCUGGCCAACUCUCUUAUCAUUGUAAAAUUCGUAUUGCUGACAAACCUGAAACCAAGGCUCAAACAUGAAUAAACACAACAAAAAAGCUAUAAUGAAACAAAAAAAAAACGAUAACCUCCAAUUGAAAGUAACACCUUGCAACAUGAGUUAAAAGAACAUUACAAAUAUUGACAGGGUGAAAACCAAAAUCCUUUUCUAUCUGGGCCUUUUUCCCUACCAUCCCAUUUGUUUAAAGACUCGGCUUAUUUUAAGACAACAGGUUAGAUUUUUAACCAUGCCAGUGUAGCCAAAAAACCUUGUCUCAGAAGGCAACAAGGGAGAGGAAUCCCAACUCCCUAUCUCAUCACAGUAAGAGUUUCACAGACAACCAAAACUAAUCUACAAUGGGUACUGGAGAAUGCCACCAUAAUGCAUGAUUUUUCUAGGUCAUGAAAGAAAAUGUUUGAUUAACCAGAUCAUGAAGCACAGCAGCCAUCAUUAAUUACAGCGCUUUUAUUCACAGACAACUUCAAUAACCCCCCCCCCCCUCUUUUCUGUCUUGCACUGAGGUAAGGCCUGCCUCCAAAGCUUCUUAAGGAUAAGAAAAAGGCUACUGGCAUGCAUACACAGCUGUCACCAACUAAAUCAGGGCUUUUGAGCUUUCCCACUCAUUCCCCAUAUCAAGAUUUUUUGGAUGCCUGAGCUUUAAUAACAUGGAGUAUGGACUGCUUGAUAAGUAGCAAUUUUUUUUAAAGAAGAAAGUAUCUAGAGAAAAAAAAGUACAGUACAGAGCUGGAGAACAAGACAUUCAUCUAAGAAAAAAGCAUAGAUAAUCUAGAUCAAAGUGAUAAAUAUUCCAAUCUCUUCUAGUAUUCCCUAGAGAAUUGACCCUAAAAGGACCUGCUGCUUGACAUUGAAAAGAAGCCAAGAAAUUAAACUAACUUUCAGGUUUUAAGACUUUGAUGACUUCUAGAACUCUUUGGUCAAAUUCUUCUAGUUUUUAAUUUACCAGCACUGACAACAAUAAAACCAGUACUUUGUGCAAUCUUUGCACCUUCCUGCAGUUAUAAUUGACAGCAUCUCACAUGAUCGAUAGUAAUAUAACUAUAACUUAGACAAAUAUUAUGAUUUUAAGAUCCGAGAAUCUAAUUUGAAUUGCACAAAACAAUUAAAGACCAGAUGCCGGUAUCAAGAAGGAAUUAAAUAAAUAGAUUAAUCUCAAAGACAUGAAAAAAUGACAAACCUCCCGACUAGCACGAGUACCAACAUAUACAAUAACAUUCAUAUCAGGAAGCCACUUUCUAAAUUCUUUAGCCCAGUUCGACAAAGUUGAUAAGGGUACAACAACAAGAAAUGGCCCGGAGAUCUGCUGAGCAUUCUGCAGAGUGAGAAAAUUUGAAAGUUUCGUAACAUGAUCAGUUAACAUGGUCUAAAAAUAUUUAAAAAAAAUUAUUUAAUGCAAUUAGAAGGGAUCCCAAGAAUAAAACAAUUAGAAAAAAAAAUGCAGGAAUAAAAAAAUAAUUAAACAAAUUCCUUGGGUUGUUCAGGAAAAGAAAGGGUUUUACCUGCAAAAAACCAAGCAUGGAAACUGACUGAACUGUUUUUCCGAGACCCAUCUCAUCAGCUAAAAUGACAUUUGUAUCAUUUCUCCAACUAAGAAUGCAAGUGACUAAUUAGGAAAUGUACCAAUGACAUUAGGUUUCAAGUUAGUCAACAAUUUUCCCUUCAAGCAAAAGAUAAUCAUACCUGUUAACUAGAAAAUUCAAACCCUCAAGCUGGUAAUCACGAAGCUUUCCUCCUCUCAACCAUUCAGGCUGUUCAUCAAGUUUCCUUAAACUUGCUAAGAGAAAAGAAAAAAAAAACACACAUGCAUUUAAAUUUAUUUGCACCAUAUCACACUAAACAUCAUGCAGAGAAUUUCUGGCGCGGUAAAGACUAUAGCUAGUUUUUUUCUUUUACAGAGAAUUGCCCGCAUAAGUUUUUUUUUAUUUGAAUGAAGAGUUAUGCUAGCAAAAAUUGGAAUUAGAAAUUGAAAGAAAACAAAAGGAUAUUUGACUAUUAGAACAAAAACAACUGCCUACAAUUUGCUAGUAGGGCAGUAACAUAAAGCAGCAAAGCGAAAACAAUCCUCAGUUUUCAGAGCAGAACUUGAUCUUUUUAAAUUACAAUGCCACUCAUUUUGCAGGUCGUAAUUAUCCAACUUUUCAACUGACACACAGUCCCAAAAAACACUGGCCACACCAAGUCACAGACCUUUUCCUUUCUUGCGCUGUAGAUCCACCAUUUUCCCCUGUACAGCAAUUGCAGCCUCACGUGCCUGCAAAAGAAAUGGUAGCUACAAAUGAGUGCUACUUCAUUCAUGUCAAUUGCAAAAUGCAAAGCCAUAAUUUUCUAAGAAAAAUGUUGACCAAAAACACAAAUUAUUUGUGCCAGACCUUGUACUCGUCAAUAGCAUCUUGUGCAAAAGCAAUAUCUACAUCCUUUUCCCUGCACCACACAUCAUUGACUAUUAAGUAGCAGAGCAACUCUCACAAACACCUAUGCAUGCAUCACUACUUCAUCAGUGGAUAUCUAGAGGCUAGGCUAAUUUCACAUGUAUGUUGUUGAAUCCCAUAAGCCAGGAGAUAAGACCACGUCUAGGAUGUGAUUAUCAAUAACAAAAGGUACAAAAGAAUUUCAGAAGUACCACCAAAAAAUCACAAGACUGGUAUAGUUUAGAAUACCAGGUUGCUUCAGCAUAAGAUAGUCCUCGCCACUUGACAAUAUACUCCGGCACGACAUUACCAGAGCUAUCUUUAGUAAUUCGAUCAGCAAUAAUUCUCUCCACCUACAAAAACAUAUGAGCAACUAGCAAGAAUUGGAGAGUGACAAGAAGAUUUGUGGAAUAGUGUAAGAGGAAAAAAAAAAAAAAGAACUGGUCAAAGACUUAUAAAACAAUGCUGCAAGACAAACCUGACUAUUUUGCUUGAUUAGAUCCAAAUCCAUUUCCUUGCUCACGUCAUUGACCUCAAUCUGAUAGAUAAAAACCAAACAUUUGAGGAUAAACUAAACCAUCCCAAAAAACCAAUUUGCCAUGCAGGUUUCUUUUGUAUUGAAGUAAAAUGUGUAAAACCAGAAAAAUAAUUCUGAUAAAAAUAUGGAAGGAACAGUUCCAUGAAUUAAAAUGCAAAUACUGUUUUCCCAAAAUUAAAAAUUCAAGAAUUUCUAGUUAAGAAACAGAAAAUGCACCAUCAGCAACGGCAAACCAAUUCGAAAAACUUAGAUCCAAAAAUUAAAGUAAAGGGUAAAUUCUUUCUGAAUUUAAAUGUAUGAAAGACAAAAUACAAAGGCACAUAAAUUACCAUUCAGUAUAUUUUGGUUAGAAUUCAGUAUUUUUUUCAUCCUGUAAGAACUAACCAGCUUAUUCAUAAUGUAAGAAAAGUUAAAAAAGGAUCAAAUAUUUCUUCCAGUUAUAAGUGCCCCUCAAAUAUCAUCACACCAGUGUUGGACUUGCUAAGCCAUCUUGACAAAAUGAUCACCUGAUUUUCAGGAAACAAGGCAACUAAAUGCCAACCGUAUAACCUAUUCAGUCUGGAUCCUUAUAAAUAAUGAUCUAGAACAGCAUGUGAAAUUAAUGAGCCACAGAAGCUAUUUCAUUGUUAUAGAAAAAAAAUAAAUCUGUGCAUUUCUCGUAAUUACAGGUAUCUCACAUUCAGAUCAGGCAACAGAUGUAAAUUAUUAUUGAGUGUUUUCAUAUCAUAUCAAAACAUGCACAUCCCAGCAUCUCUCUUUCUCCUCUCUGAUAUUAUUAAGAAAAGAAAACUUCAAAACCCUUUUAACUUGUAAAGCAAAAGGUUUACCUCCUCACGUGUAAAUGAUCUCCUGUACCUCACAUCUUCCAUCACUUUUUUAGUGUAGUUCAGUACCUUCUUAAAACCACUUAGCUGGUGACACAACAGCAGACAAUGUAAACAACAGAUCCAGGGGGGGGAGGAAAAUUUUCAAAGCAGAAUAAAUUAAACUUAAACCAAAAAAUGCAUUUGAUUAUUAGAGCUUAAAUUGCAUGCAUAAGAAACAGAAAUAAUAGCAAUUAUACAUUUUGUAAGUCAGAAAAUGAUUUCCAUUGGCAGUGCAUAUGUGACUGGCCUUUCCACUUUAUCAAGAACUCCAUUUCUUUCCAAUCAGGCACAGAAUCAAACAGGUAGCUUAACAGAACAGGCUCCGUUGAUCUAUUGUUCCUCAUUGCAUCUUCAGCCGUGCCCCUUGGCUGAUGCCACAGUACCCUUUCAAUGGAGUCACCAUCUUCUUCUUCAACUUCAUCCUAUUUUGGAGAAGGCAAACAAAAGAAAGAAUAACAAUAGCAUACCAAAACUUGGUGACGUAAUGAGAGAAUCCAUUAAAGCACUGAAGCCUGUGAAAUUUUUAAUAUUCAAAUCCAAAGUGCAACCACAAUUGCCAAAACAAUAAAAAUAACAUAAAGAAAUAUCCGAAGUAGAAACAAGUACAUAUAAAACUAGAGCUAAAAGAUCAGGAGUUCUGGUUCAAAUGAUUCCCGGUCAUCAUUCACCUUUCCCAAAAAAAUAAUUUUUGACAGGCCUAUCUAGGGCCUAUUUGGGUGUGGUAGAGGUUGAUUUUCAAAAUGUUUUUCGCUUAGAAUGCAUCAAAAUAAUGUUAUUUUUAUUUUUUAAAAUUCACUUUUGGCAUCAAAACAAUCUAAAAGCAUCAAUAGAAAUAAUUUCAAGCUAAAAAAAAAUCAUUUUUUUUUCAAAAGCAUGGUUGGACCGCAAUGCUAAGCAGGGCCCUAGAAUCCUCAAACUAUAACACUAGGACCAAUUUAACCUCAUUGAUAGGAUUUUGGCCAAAACAAUUAAAAAUAAAAUAUUUUGCUAAACAUAGAAACACAUGGAUUCUACAAGUAUUUCCCAGUGCAAAUGUCCCCUAGAGAGCAUACAUUAUUUUAAGAGUUUGUCCACAGACACGGCAAACCCAGCUUGCUGGCUAGGGCAGGAAAAAGAGAGGCCUAAUAACAAACAAACACACGUGUAAAAACAAAGUUUUUUUGAGUUAAAAAAAAAUUACUUUCACUUUCUAGGGAGUUCCUGGAAAACUUGCAAGAACUCAUGCAACUUCAAUUAAGAACUUGAUGAAAAGAAAUAUAAGAAGCAAACUUACAACAUAUAUACAUAUGUAUAUAUAUGGAUCAAAACAAGCAGAAAAACUCAUAUAUGCAAGCCCUAAUCUAUAAGAUGAUAUUUCUAACCAAAACAACUAUAUCAUAAGAUUUUUUCAUCCACGUAAAAAAAAAACGAAGCAUUGUAACAUCGUAAAUUAUAGUAUGAUAAACUGCACCUUUAGGGCAUUCUUCUUUUUCCCUUCACCAAUCUCUUCGCUUUCAUCACUUUCAACAUACGAUACCUUACGAACUGACCUACUUGAAGUGCGAACCUCAUUGUUUCUUCCACCAAUGUUUGUUGACAUAGUGGACCGAGCAUUAGAUUUGCGGAGAUGCUCACCUCUUUGAGUCAUGUUCUUGAAAUCUUUGUCGCUGUCAGAAUCCUCUGCCGAAUACUCAUCCUCUUCAAAUGAUGUUUUCCCUCUCUUUUGUCGACCGGAAGCACGUAAUGAUGUGUGCUCUCUGGCAGAUUUUGUAUUACAUCCACCUUUACCCUGUUGCCUACCCUUAGGUUUUUUUGUGUAAUACGAAUCAUCAUCAUCUUCAUCAUCUGAGAUAACCCAAUCAUCACUGUUAACUUCUUCAUCUGAAUCUUCACUCUCCCCAUCUUUAUCCUGGUUUUGGUGAAAAAGCACUUCAUCAGGGUAAAAGGAAUAGGUGUGCAAUAUUGGUAUGAACUUUAUUAUCUGAAUCCACAGGCUCUUCUAGUCAUGCCUUGCAGCAUGCACAAAAAUGUAAGUGUGCCACAUUAUAAAAAUAAGGCAAUAAACUAACAGAAGAUUGUAAGGAUAAUACGAAUCAAAGAACAAUAAAUUGGACUUAAGAACAGCAGAUUGAAAUAAAACAUCAUGAAAAUUGCCCUGACAAGGCUAGUGAUAAACCCACGUGCUGUACAAAAUACAAAGGCAAUGAACCAUACUUCAAAUAACAACUAUGAAAGUGCAACGACAAUAACCUUGCCCCCCAUGUGACCACUCAAGGCGCCAUAAUCAGGGUCAAAAUCUGCAUCAUCAGGAUCAUCUUCUGCUAGCAAUAUCACAAAAAUUUCAGCUCCAAUGUUAAACAGUAAAAGAAAUUACCAACUACUAAAUAAUAUCCAAGCAUCUCAUAACUUGUUUUAGUGAAAAUGGUAUUGAAACCUAACAGAAAAUGCAACAAUAACAAAGAAAUUACCAUCUUCGUCUUCUUCCUCAUUAUCACCAUCACCAUCAUUAUUGUCAUCAUCAUAACCUUCACUAUUGUGUAAACCUCUAGACCUCCUCCUGGACACAUUAUUCUUGAUUGGUACAGGCUUUGAUUGCAACCUAGAGCUCAAAUCAACGGGUUUGCUAAACCCCCUAUAACGCAUCAAGUCACUUUGAUCCUCCCCGUCCUGCUCAUAGUAUUCAUCAGACAACAUCUCAUCUGCAGGGACAUCAGAAUGGCCUUUCCCACCCCUACCUACUUCUUUUUGUCCCUCUUCAUCUUCCGAUUCUAAUCUACCAUCCCUUCCAUUUGAUACAUUAUCUUCUGACCCUUCUGCAUUUCUAUCCUCUGACUUGGAAUCCUGCCUGGAAUCGGAUGCCCCAGGAGUAGCCAUGGGUUGACAGUCCUUCCAAAAACUGGAACCCCAUUUUCCAGCCACAUUUCUCCUUCCAGAAGGUUGCAACUCUGAAUUACUCACACCAGCACAAUUGUCAGCAGCCACAUCACUCUGCAACUUACCUGCAGCAUCUGGUUCGCUUUCAUAUUGCGCAUCCAUGUUCAUAUCCAGUUCUCUUUCACUAGAAUUCACAUCUACAUCCUCAUUGCCUAACAUUCUACCUGUACCCUGACCUUGCACUUUUCCUUCUAGGACACUCUGUGAAACUGCUUCAGUUGUAUAGUUCCUGCAAAAAGCCAUCCUCUCACAUGGAAUUUCAAAGGUAAUUAUUUCCCGCCUUUCCCUAUCUGAAAUGCUUGCUGUGAAUACAAUGCUGCGGGUAACUUUUCUGUUGUCUCUUACAGUCUCCCUCAAGGCCUGGAAACAAUAGAAACCAAUAAUUAAUUAAAAUCAACAUACAAAUAAUAAAAACUAAAAUUGCGCUUCACAAAGGUGUUAGCAAAAAACACACUAUGAGAAAAAAAAAAUUGUCUUCAAAAAGAAGAGUUUAACUUUUAACCCCAUACUCUUCACUGUAUUAACUAGUAAAAAACAAAACCCAAAAUUGUAAAAGAAGAAAUUUCUUUAUGAAGUGAAGAUUAUCGGGUUCUUUUCAGAUAGCAGAUAUCUGAGUAAUCAAAUCUUGAUAACAAAACCUCGUUCAUUCCACAAUACAUUCACUAACUAGGACUGAAGAAGAUUCUGAUCACAAUUUAAACUGGCAACUGAUGGUAUUCAAAAACUAUAACUAAAAUCGGAAAAAAAAACACUUACUUAAACCAAAACCAAUGGAAAAAGACUAAAGACAAUCAGAAACAAGUUCCUAAGAGUUCAGAUGAUACUAGAAAUGAAAGAAUUAUCAGAGCAGGCUCAAUACAAUCAGAAACCGAAGCGAAAUAAUCACUAAACCCACUAACAAACAAAACAAAAGAUGAAAACAAGUCAAACAAAGCAAACUAUAGAUCCAUGAGUGAAGCCGCAAAAUCAAAUGACUACACACUUAAACCUUCAAUUUAGAAACCCUAAAACGAUCAAGAAACCCUAAAUUCGAAAUCGGAAACGUUAAAUUCACGUUAGUAAGCAUCGAAAAGAGAAAAUCGUGCCGAAAAUUGCAGCCUGUUAUUAAACAAGAAGCUAACCUCAGUAAAUGAAGAACCAAACUGAUUUAUCUAGCUAAUUAGGUCAAGAUACUCUUAAAAAAAAACAGGAGAGGGUGCGCAGUAUAAUAUCGGAGCACCUUUCAAAUCGCCGGCGACCAAUGAGUUUGAAAAAAAAAAAAACGGUGUCGUUAAGGAUGUUUCGGUUUAAAUGUUAACGGGUAUGGAUUUUUUAGUAUGGGCGGCGGCUGUUGCUAAGAUACGCGGAGGGUGAGGUUAAGAACGGUUCCCGAUUGAAAGGAAGACGACGAAUCGAUUUUGGGAUUGAUCGUCGAUUGGUGUCCGUGAGAAAAAGGAGAGAGAGACACCCACAAUGUGUUCGUUUUUUUUUCUAGAGAGAGAAAGUUAAAGAUUUGUUUCUUGUGUUUUUUUUUUUUUUUGAGAGGGGGGAGAGCAGAAAUAAAAAAUAAUAAUAAUUGAUUUCGGUUUUGGAGCUGUUAUUUAUUUUGGAGAAAAAACGUGUUUAUAGUUAAAAAAAAAAAAUCUCUCUUAGUUUUGUGUAUUUUGGAGCCAAUGGCAUGAGCCCACCUGGCGAUUAAUCGGACGGUUAGCGUGAGACGAGUUCCCAGGAGUGGUGUCCGCUGCUUUCAAUUUCAAGGGUUGAAAAAAUAAAAUGCAAAAUGGGGGUCGAGCUGAGUGAAGGAAAAUGCCCUUGCCGAGUUUUUCUUGCCCUCCAGUCCGUGGAUGACGAAAGGUUGAAAAAAACAUGUAGAAAUUUAAUUUUGUAGAUAUUGAAUCAAUGUUACUAUUAAACUUGAUAUUUAAUAUUAUAGAAAAUAUUUUUUUAUUAAAAAUAUAAAGAAUCCGUGAUAAAAAGUGAGAACAAAACAAAAACUAUAAUACAGACGCUCCAGUACCUUAGCUAUAACAAUUCAAUUCUCAUAAAACUAAAUACAUUAACUUUACUAUUUUAUUUAACAAAUUUCUAAAAUACUAGAUGAAUUCAUUGUAGCAAUAAACAUAAUUUACUAUGAAUUACUAAGUAAAUUUAUCUUUGUGCCCCUCAAUGGAAAGGUUAGAAUGCUAGGAUAUAGUGGUAUUUUGAUCUUUUAUGUUGACCCAUUGGUCAUUAAAAAAUUAAACAUAGAUAUUAUUGUCUUUUUAGAUUAUUUUAUAAGGUAAAAAUAUUUUUCUACUCCUAAGGUCAACAAAAUUUAAACUUGCUAACCAAAAGUUUUUUUGACUUUGCAUAAAUUUUAAAAUAAGUAAAAAACUUCUUUGCCUUUAAAAAAUACAAAAUAGCUUCUUUGCAUGUAGAGGAGUUUUGGUAUUUUUCACAUUGAUUUAUUUGUUAUUUCCAAUGUUAUAUGAGGUAUUUUAGUAAUUUAACAUUUAUUUUUAAUAUUAAAUUCAAAAAAAGAUGUUGGCGAGUGUUUUUCACCCGUUGGUGGCGUCCGCACUCUUUCGACGACUCGUGUGACGCCACUAUUUGUCCGAAAAUGACCUUCUGUCGUGUCACUAGAAGCGGCGUCACGUGCUCUUCCUCCUAGUAUGGAGCGUGUUAGUGAUAAACCGACAGUUUGUCGCUAGUGAUCGUUUCUUCUUUUUUCUUCCUACUUUUCUCUUUCUUGUUAAAGUACAUGUUUUUCCUUUUUUUCUUUUUAUUUUUCAAUUUCAGUCCUUGUGUUUAUUAUUGCUCUUUGUCAUCGUUCACUCAUUUAGAAAAGUUUUUUUAUUUUCUCAAUUCAGUCAUUAAAUUACAAUUUAUCAUACAUUGUUUUCUCCAAUUUGGUAUUUAUUUGCUUGAUUUGUCAUUUUUACCCCUGGAUUUUUUUGUUAAAGUUUUAUUAAUAUUCAAUUUCAUCAUUCAAUACUACUUGAAUACAGAAAGGUCCUUUAAAAGUCUAGACUUGAUCUCCUUUUUUUUGCUUGAUUUUCUUUGGACUUGAUUUUUUGACUUGGAUACCAUAUAAAUUUUUUGCUUGAUUUUCUAUUUUUUAUAUGUAAUUUGAAAGUACUGAUGAAUAUUGUUGUGGUUUAGUAGGAAUGUUGGGACAGUUUUUUUUUUCAUAUGUUUCCAAGCCUAAACAAGAGAUUUUAUGGUUUGAUUUUAAGAUUAGGGAUUAAGAAUAACAAAACUUAUGGCACUUUUUGGUCUCCUAAUUUUUAAUGCCAAAAAAACAAAUUUGACCGAAUCGAACCAAUUUGAUCUAAACCAGGUUUUGGUUCCGUCCGAGUCAUAUUCUCAGGAAAUAUCAUUUCCUGACUUGAUUAGAUUUUUUUGCUCAUAUUGUACUGAACCAAACUGUGAACACCCCCUACAACAACAAACAAAAACAACAAACAAGAAAUAAAGAUCUUGUUUACACCAAUAUCAAUUCUUCAACCAAUCUACAAAAGCAUUUUAUGAUAUGACAUUUUGCAAAUGGUUAUAACUCACGUCAUUUUCAUUUUAAUAUUGAAAAGACAGAACACUUUCCUCUUCUAUAGAAAGCUAAUGAUAUGACAUUCUUUACAAACAAAAUGUUAAGCAUAAGUCUAAAAGGCGAGUGUUUUUUAUUAUGCAAGGCUUUAUUGUUCAUCCUCUUGCACAUUGUUAUGAAUAGGUUGUGCAAAAUUUUUUAUUUUUUCAACAUGGUACUCGAACUUGUUUUUGCUGAUUUAGUUCUAAUUAAAGAAUAAUUGAUUUUGAUUGUUAUGAAAUCAUGGGGUUGAAAAAAAAAUGAUCGAAAUGAAAAAAACAUCAAACAUGGGUGGCGUGCCAUAAAUUUCACAAAAGAAGCAUUUUGGUCCCUUGACUUUAAAAAUCACGCAAAUUAUAUAAUUUCAGUACCUUAAUAUUUUUUCAAUUUAAUUUUGGUACAAAAGUUUAUUUUUUGUUAUUUUUUAGUUCUUGGCUGAGAGAAGAGAGAGAGAGGUCACUAGAUUCCGGCGACAGAGAGUGAAAAGUAUUUUUAACACCGAUUUAGACCACCAAAACAAAUGAUAUUUAUGUUAAAUGGUUUCAUUUGAUUAUGAAAGUUUAUAUUAGGUGUUUUUUACCUUUGAGUUUUUUGGUAAAAAAAACUUAAGUCCCAAUUUUUUAUCUACCACAGUGGCUGGAAAUUGGGCAAAUCAGAAGAUGUGUCAUCUAUCUCAACAGGCAACACAUCGUUUGAUUUUUUUCCAAUCAAUUUAAUAUGUGUCUCUAUUUUUGUUAUCAUUUUCUUCAAUAAAAAAUUACUUUAAUAAACAAAUUUAGCAAACACAGUUGAGUAAAUGUCUCGUCUUUCAAUAUUAAAUAUCUUGAUAAAUACAUGUCUAUUGAUUUUUCAAGUUUUAUUUUCAGGCAUCGUUGAUGACUUUUUAUUUAUUUAUUCGCACACAUAGUUCUGAUUUAUUUGAUUACAUAUAUGUUCAGAAAAAAUUAUUAGAAUUUAAAUUUUUUUAAACUACAAAAAUGCGUUAAAAAACCUAUACAUAUAAUUUUUUUAUAGGAAAUAAAAACACCUAGCCCGCGACAGAGCACGGGUCACAUAAUUCGUAAAUACUGAACACCAUCAAUUGCAUUGCCCCCAUUGAAUUUCCUCUCAAUUGUUGCAACAAUUAUAAGCAUGCAAAUAGCUUGAAGUGGAAUCAAAGUGUCAAAUACCCCUUAUAAAGUAAAAUAAAAAUGACAGGGUUGACUAAAAUUAAAGAACCCAUUUUAUCAACAUCAAAAAAAAUUAUUUAACCACUUUCACUUACACAAAAUAUAUUGGUUUCCUAAUUUAAAGGACAUUAUUUCCAUUAAAAAAAUAAAUAUAUUAUGUGUGUACCGUGCACGUGAUACAAUCAUUUUAACUUUAAUAACAGUGAAUGACAAAAUGGAGUAUAACAUAAUAUUUGGAUAUAAUUCAUUUAUUUAAAAAUUAAAUCAUAAUUUUAGAAACUUUAGUGAGAAAAUAGGCUAAAACAUAAGAACAACUUGACAACUGUUUUAAUGUCAGUUUAUAUCAUAAAUAUAUUAGUAGGUAAGAUACCACAACAACAAAAUACAAACCAAUACCAGUUGAUGGAUGAUUCAACAUAUAGAAUGCUCCGAUUUUGAGAAGAUCUACAUAAAAGUUGGCAUUUAUAAGAACAUCUAGAAAGUACACCAGCAGUUAAAUAAUUAACACAAUUAAAAAAAAAUACAGACAAAAAAAAUUGCACACCAAGUUACCAACAAUAACCUAUAAACUUUUCUUUUACUACUUUUUUUUUAUAUCCUAGACACAACAAAAAGAGGGAGAGAGAGAUUGAUGUCGGGUGGUUCGAGAGAGAGGAGAGAAUGAUAAGUUUUUUUUUUGUUGGAUUUGGGUGAAAGAAAAGUUAAUUGAAGUAGUAUUUAUACUCCUUCAAAACUCUUAAAAUCGAUGCAAAUUUGUGAGUUUGCAUUAUUUUGCCGAGUUUAUUGGAAUUGAGUUCGAUAUUACUAAUUUUCGAGUUUUUAAUCCAAUUUUGCAUACUAAAUACAAAUCAACUUAUAAAAUCAUAUGAUUUUACUAAUAAACUUAUAAUUUUAACAACCUUGAUUGCAAUAAUUAAUAAUGUCAAGCAUAGUCCUACGAAAUGAUCAUAUUCAUGAUCAUUCAAUCCAAUUAAACCAAGUUAUAGUCACAAACACCUUACUUAAUAUUAAAUGUAGUCGUGAUGGUAUAACCACACAAAUUAUAAGAAACUAAACAUACGACUUGUUGGAUAAAUAUUUUUUAAUAUAAAAAAUAAAAUAUAUAGGUUUUCUUAAUGUUGUUUUAUAUAAACAAAUUAUAAAUGUAAAUCAUAAAGCUUAUUCAUUCAUUUAAUUCGAUAAAUUAAAAAUUAUUUAUGCCAAUAAAUACAAGAAAAUACUUGUUAAUGAUAAUUAAAUAUUAAACUGAAAAAUAGAGAGAUAAAUAUGAGUUAAGAUACUUAAUAUCGCAACACAAGUUAUGUACCCGUCCGUGUUUGAUAAUUUUUUUAUUAAAAUCAAUUUUUUAGCCAGUCAUACGAUAAUAGAAAUAGAUAAAUACAUAAAAGCGAUUGAAUAAAAUCAUUAGAAAAAUAUUAUGCAAGGUUACACUUAUUAUAAAACAAAUGUUACCAUUUUACAUGAAAACCAAUUAAAAACUAUAUUAUAUUUAACCAAAUACUAAAUUGAAAAGUUGAGAAAUAAAUAUGGAUGCAGUUGUAUGAUAUCGAAACAUAGGUCAUAAAUUUAAAUGUAUUGAAUAACCUUAUUUACUGGAAUCAAUGUUUUAUUUAAGAAAAUGAAAAUAAAAAAGACACGCAUGGAAAAAUGAUUGAAUGGAACUAAAAAAAAAAGCAGUGCUGCACAAAAAAAUAAUACCUCCUGAUAUCAAAUUUUUUUUGAAAUCUUAUUCGUUAACCAGUCAAGAAUUAAAUCAUGUUUUAUUAAAAAACAUUAAUUUUUUUUAUUAAAUUUAAAAAAUACCUAUAAAAACACCUUAUACACCUUACUAAACCCAUUAAUGACCUUGAAUAACAAAAAAAAAAAGGCCAAUAACACAAAAUCAACUUCAAAAUAAAUAGAAAAACUUUUAGGCUUAAAUAUAUUAUCUUAUAGUAAGAAAAACAAAUAACACAGAAACUCUUUUUAUCAAAUUGAACUUGUAGACAUUAAAAUAAAAUUUUUUAUUAUUGUGACGGUUGUUAACUUGGAUUUUCUCUCUCUUUCAUUGCAUUCACUCCUUUUCUCCUAUCUCAAACAUAUAAUUAAAAAUAAUAAUAAUAAAGUUUUAGAUAAUAUUGGAUUUUUUAAAUAUCAGGCACUGAAAGUUAAUCAUUUAAAAAAUACCUUUUGCUCCAAUCCCAAAAUUGCAACCUAGUUUUUAUGAUUUUCUCAACUUGAUCUCCUUCUUUUAAUUUUUUCAUCAGUUUACGAAUCUGAAACAAUUGACCUUUUUAUCAUCUAAAUAAAAAAGAUGACAAUCAAAAUUUAAAAAAAAUCAACGUGCGAGUCUAAUGUGAAAUGCGAGAGGGGUUACACUGUACAUGGUUAAAGUAUUCUCCCCCACGUGGCUUUUUCCUUUAGCUUUUUUCCUAUAGCUGCAUAAUAUACAACCUCUCAUAAAUCUAGAGUAAUAUUUUUUUUUUAUCAUAAUUUUUUUUUUCAAUCUUGUCUUUUAUAUUUUCUUUUCAUUUUUAUAAAAGGAAUUAUACAAAAUAAAUUAUGUCUCCACAUUUUUGCCCUCAGUUGUUAUCAUUUAUGGAUCCAUCGAUUCCUAUAUAUUCAUGUAUUUAACUAUAAAAAAAUAUUUAAAUAAAAAAUUGAAACUUAACCAUAUUCAAAUAAUAAAACAAGAAAAGAAAAGGAGAUAAAAAAAACCCACACACCAAAUAAUAAUAUCCACUAAAUAUUUGACCCGUGUUUCAUCAGGGGUUAAAUUUUUUUUUUCUUAACAAAAAAAUUAUAUAUAGACCUUUUCAAUAUUUUUUUGCAUUUAAAAAAUUUCUAAGUGAAAAAAAAAAUAUACACACAUAUAAUUAAAUAAAUUGAAAACUAUGCGUUUUAAAAAGUGAAAAAAAAACCAUAAAUGACGAUUAAAAAUAAAAACGGGAAAAAUCAAGAGACAUGUGUAGAUUAAGAUAUUUAAUUUUGCAAUACGUGAAAUUUACACGAUUGUGUUUGCUAAAUUUGUUAAUUAAAAUAAUUUUUUUAUUCAAUCAAAUGAUAAUAAAAAUAGACACACACUAAAUUGAUUGAAUAAAAUAAAAGAAAAAAUAAUAAUAUGCAAGGCUGCAUAUAUUAAAAAUAAUUUUUGAAAAUUUUUUUUAUUUUAAAAAAUAAAGUUUAUCUAUACAAAAGAUUAAAAAAAUAUAGAUUAAUCAGAAAAACCUCCUAAAAAAUUAAAUACAUAAUCAAAAAAUAAUUAUUAUUUCAAAUAGGCUUUAUAUAUAACAUAAAAGAGAGAAAAGAUAUUAAUUUAAAUAUAAAUAAAAAUAAUAUUAAGAUUAAUUUUUAAAAAUAGAAACAAAAAAAAAUAUUUUUUCCAAAAUAAAAAUAAAGUGAACAAUGUUGUCCAUGGUAAAAUUUAUAGGAUGAACCUCGACCAUGAACUCGAUUGAAUUUAAUAUUUUUUCCUUUUAAAUUUAUAGCAAAUCUAAAAAAAAAGUAAACAAUAUUAUUCACAGUAAAACAUGAGAGGCGGAACAGUACGGCUGCACAAUGUUCAUUUCACAUAUUUUCCCUUGAAAUUUAUAUCAAAACCUUUUUAAAAAAUAAUGAUCAGUGUUGUCCACAAUAAAAUAUGAGAGGGAUGAACAAUGCGUUUACAUAAAAUUUACCUCACAUGUUUUAGUUUAUUUAAAGUAAACUCAACUAAGUUUAAUAUUUUUUUUAAUGUAUAAACCUAAAAUAAGUGAAUAAUAUCAUUUAUGGUAAACACGUGAGAGUGGAAACAGUAUAAUUAUAUAUUAUUAUUUAUAUAUAUAUUUAUCUUAAAUUUAUAAUAAAAAAAAUAAACAAUGAAUCCACGAGAAAACACGAGUGAUAAAUAGUACAGCUCCACAAUUUUCACCCCCGCUCACUUUUAAUUAUAAGUAAUAAGUAGAAAAAUAGAAAAACACUGUGGUGUACACGGUAUAUAGGUAAUAGCUAUACUGUUGUACAAAUUUGUCUUUUAAUAAAAUAGAAACUCUUUUCACACCCUUUCGUUCUCUAAAAUUCAUCAAACACAAAUCCUAAUCCCAAGAUCACUUAUGAAACCGUUUGGAACGCAGACUGUUGCCAAAAAAAAUUUAAUUAUUUUUUAAAAUUUAAUAUAAUUUAUAUUGUAUCAUUUUGAUUUGUUAAUAUAAAAAUAAUUUUUAAAAAAUAAAAAAAUAUUAUUAAUAUAUAUUUUAAUAUGAAAAAUUAUUUGAAAAACAAUUAUUAUCACACUACCAAACAUGCUCAAAAACUAUUUGGGAACACGUUGUAAAUAGCUUUUUUAAAAAAACUAUUUUUUUUAUUAAAAUUUAUUUUUAUUAAAAUUUAAUAUAAUUUGUAUGUUUUGAAUUGUUUUAAUAUAAUAAUAUUAAAAAUAAUUUUUAAAAAAUAAAAAAAAUAUCAUUUACAACCAUCUCAACACAAAAUAAAAUUAUCUCAAAAGCAACCUAACCAAACAUACUCAACAAUGAGCAAUGCAACAAUCAUCGACGAAAAGUUAAUCCCUCUCUCUCCCGAUCAAAAAUCAAAUUGAAUCCUUGGAACUCGAAAAAGAAAGCAAAAAUGGUGUUGGCACAGUUAGGAGGAAACAUAUCCCGAGCAAUCCAGCAAAUGAGCAAUGCAACAAUCAUCGACGAAAAAGCAUUAAACGAUUGCUUAAACGAGAUCACUCGCGCUCUUCUUCAAUCUGAUGUUCAAUUCAAACUUGUUCGCGACAUGCUAAUAUCAAUCAAAUCGUUGGGUGGAAACCUGUGCUGGUUUGCGCUGAUACGUUUAGAGCUGGUGCGUUUGAUCAGUUAAAGCAGAAUGCAACUAAAGCUAAAAUCCCAUUCUAUGGAAGGUAGUGAUUUUAAGCGGAGGAGAAUAAAUAAUGGGUUUUCCAUCAAUCAAUUAUUUACUUGUUGUUGUUGAUACAGUUAUAUGGAAUCAGAUCCUGUGAAAAUUGGUGUGGAAAGAUUUAAGAAGGAAAAUUGUGAUCUUAUAAUUGUUGGUACGAGUGGACAGCAUAAACAGGAAGCUGCACUUUUUGAAGAAAUCCGUCAAGUUUCUGAAGCAACGGUAUGUUAUUCUUUUAUUAUUGGUUUUGCAUGCUUCGUUGUUUUUAUUAUUAAUCGUUGAUUGUUAUUGCAGUAAAAUCUGAUUCUUUUUCGUUUUGUGUCUUCCAGAAACCCGAACUUGUUAUAUUUGUUACGGAUAGCAGUGUCGGUCAAGUUGCAUUUGAUCAAGCUCAAGCUUUUAAGCAAAUUGUUGCUGUUGGAGCUGUGAUUGUUACCAAAAUGGAUGGUCAUGCAAAGGGCGGUGGCACGCUUAGUGCGUUAGUAUUCUAGAGGUUGCUCUACUGUACCAAAACUUCCUUUUUUUUAAGCAUUUAUAUUGAUUUGUGGUUUACAUUCCAUGUACAGUGUUGCAGCGACGAAAAAUCCUGUCAUUUUUUAUUGGUACCGGAGAGCAUAUGGAUGAGUUUGAAGUCUUUGAUGUUAAACCUUUUGUUUGUCGCCUUCUAGGUAUUCUCGCCUUUGUUUUGAUGUUGUUCUGACCUCUGAAAUUUAUGUGGAUGUUUUUGAUUCUCAUAGUGUUUGCAUUGUUAUGAUCUUCCAGCUAGGUAUGGGUGACUGGUCUGAAUUCAUGGACAAAAUUCAGGAGGUUUUACCUUAAGGAUUAUGUAAUAGCAAUUCCAGAAUCUACUAAAAAUGGGUCCCAUUGGCCAGGUUCUCUACUAACUAUCCAGAAUCUACUAAAAAUGGGUCCCAUUGGCCAGGUUCUCUACUAACUAUCGGAACUCCCUUGUGACUGUGAUAGUAAGUGUGCUAGUGUAUGGACAGUUGAAUAACUUUUGGCCACCGCACUUACUUAGAGAAAAUCAUCUUAGGAGAGUUUUUGUGAUUUGUUGUUAAUUCCUCACCCCAGUUUUUCUGUCUUCCUUUUUUAGCUUUUUCAUGCUUCAGCAUGCAGAUAGUUGAUAAUUAUUAUGCAAGACUUUGUAGUCAGCUUAUUAGUAGAGCAAAACCUUUUUUUCCUUUCAUUUGAAUUAGAAACUGAAGCUGUUGGCAUUUGAUACAUAACAAAAGUACGAGGCGUUUUAUUGGUUCAUGCACAUUGACACCUGCUGGUACUGUUACAUAUGGCUUUCAAGAGUAUAGAAGUUGUACCCCAGCUAGAUACGAGAAUCUAACACAAGAAACCAGAUUCAGCGACAAUAGUGAUUCUUAUUAGUUUGCCUAGUUUAGAUACAGGUCCAAUUAAUUUGUUCCCAGAUUAUUUUAACAUCUUGUUUAACAAGAAUACCUCAACAAGUGAAAGAGAUGAAAAAUGAGAGAAAUUGCAAAGAGGACAAUGAUGCAUACGAGAGUGAGAAGAAGAUAAUGAAAAAGUACGGUAGACAAGGAGAAGACAAGUGGGAAAGUAUGGUAGACAAGGAGAAGACAAGUGGGAAAGUAUGGUAGACAAAGAUAGCUUACAAUACUUCCUAAUUAACAUUUUUCAGUUUCGUGAAUUCUUUAUUUGGUGACCUGUUUAAUUAAAAAAAGUGGGAAAGGUAGUAAACUGUUGCCCUGUCCUUGGUAAUAAAAUUUUGAGAGUAUGAUAUUAGUCUUUACAUCUUGGCUGAAUUUUUUUAUAUAUAUUCUCCCUUUACCAUUCUUCUCCUUCCCUAUUGAGUUGUGACUUUCAGUUUAAUAGUGUUCAGGUCACCUUUUUUAGGUAUUUUCAAUGCUUCCUGGAUUUAGUGCUGAAUUAAUGCCAAAAGGUCAUGAAAAGGAAAGCCAGGUGAAGAUUAAGCGAUACAUGACCAUGAAGGAUUCAAUGACCAAUGACGGUGAGUAAGUGCUAUUUGAUAUAUUCACAUUUCACAUUUAGCUCAUUGCUUUACAUCUUGGAUAUGCAUAACACAUUUUCUUGAAUGAAUAUAUAUUGGGUACUUUGGCUGAUCACUAUUUGUUGCUGAUGUGUUGCAGAGUUGGAUAGCUUGAAUCCAAAGCUCAUGAAUGAAUCACGAAUGAUGAGGAUAGCACGGGGUGCUGGCCGUCCAAUUAGAGAUGUGAUGGAAAUGUGGGAAGAGUACACAAGUGACUUGCUAAGGUCUGGAGCGAAAUGAAGGGGCUUAAGAUUCCAGAGAAGGGUGAGAUGAGUUCCCUGUCUAGAAAUAUGAAUGCACAGCACAUGAACAAAGUCCUCCCUCCACAGAUGCUGAAGCAGCAUGGUGGCAUGGGUGGCUUGCAAAACUUAAUGAAACAAAUGGGUUCGGCAAAAGACAUGACGGGCAUGUUUGGAGGCGGGGACAAGUAAAUGCAUGAUUGCCAACUGCAAGUUGAAAUGAAUUCCCAUGACUAUAACCUUGGCCUGUCAGGAGGAUGGCAAGGCAGAGUGUUACAUAUGCAAGCAAUGCUUCUAACAGUUUUGCAGGUACUUAUUCAUGAAGGAUAAUGCAUUUGACUUGGUUUUGUUUUUUCUCCUGCUGAUAUAGAGAGGUUGUUCUGUAGCACCUUCUUUUCCAGUUUAGUUUACCUGUUUUGUGUAUUUAUUUUACAUUGUUUGAUGACCUUUCUAACAGAUAUGUUACCGAGAAUUUUGCAUUUGUCACUUCAUCUCCAAAUCUGCUUGGGAUCUUUGCACGAAUCUGCAGGCUAUUAGAUCUUAGUCAGUUUAAUGACUAAUGGGGUGACUACUGACUAGUAAUCUUUCAUGGCCUGUAAAUAAGGGCCGAAUGCUAUCUUCCAAUAUAUGUGAAACAGUGUCUAGAAGGCUGGAGAGUCGGUAUUUAGAAAAAGAAAAAUAUUUUUAAAAAAAAUAUUUUCUUUUCCAAGAAAAAAAACAUUUUAAAAAGCAAUUAUUAUUACAAAAUCAAGAUUGAAUUUUUUUUGGUGGUCUUUUGUUUUAGAAGAGACACCUUACUGCAUUAUGUGAAUAUCCAAAAAUGGCAAAUCACCCCCGCAGUUUAAAACACUAUGCCUGCAAGUUAUAAUUCUUCAAUGCUAGAGGUAUUAGGUGUGGACGCUAUCUACCUCCAGAUUGCUUGAGACUUUUUCAGUGACUCUGCUAGCAACCACCCAAAAAUUGGUUAGAUUGCAACUCUUUUUUUUUUUUUUUUUAUUGUCAGGCAACGCUCAAAAAGUAUAAUUUGAGCUCGGAAAAGUUAACCAUCAAUGUUUAAAAUUUCUUGCAAAUGUUCCUAAGAUGUUUAUUUUCAUGGAAAUCCAAUGCCUUUCGGCCUCAAUUAGUCAAUGUACCAUAACGAUCGCAUGAGAAUCUGAACAUUUAAUGGCAGUGAAAAAACCCUUUAUGCAAGAACUGUUAUUAUUAAAUUAAAAACAAAUAAGAUGCACUAAUGUUUUACUGUUGAUCAAGACUAAUUAUACUACGGAUUACUAAAAUGUAAUGUUUUUGUUCUCCAUGGAAAAAAUCAAUGAACGGGGAAAAAUGGUUUUUUCACUAAGCUUGUUUGACACUAUCAAAAUUAAUCGGGGUUAAAUUGAUAUUUUUAAUUUUUUAACACAUUAAAAUAAUUUAAUUAUAUUUAAAAGUAAAUAUUUUUAAACUAGAGCCCAAAAAUUCUUCAGUCUUUUCAUUUUUUUUAAAACAAUAAAAUUACUAAAUUACUUUUAAAAACAAAAACAAAAGUUAUGAAACUUGCUUCCAUGAGGUUUUUUAUAUUUUCAUUAGAUUGAGAGACAAAUUGAUGUUUUAAUACAUAUAAAUAUUAUUAAAAAAAUAAUUGACACAUGCAUUACACGCAAUAACACGUGGGUUAUGAUCACUCACUUGUGGUUGAGCGUGUGGCGUUGCUCGAUUGCUAAAUACCGACUUCCAGAUACCGACUUCCAGGGUGACAUUUGAAUCUUUUUGGAGACCCUCUAUUCAUGGGCGACACGUGUUGGGACAAACCUCUAAUUUGGCGUUGAUGGCUUUUUCUUUCCCCUUUCUUUUUUUUCUUCGUCUCGAUUCUCAUGUCCUCUAAUUUUUUAAAGUAGCCCUUCAAAUUAUUUUUCUUUAGAUUAAAUUAAUGUUUUUUUGAUUAUUGUUUAUUUUAUUUUAAAUAAUUUAUAAUAUUGGAUUUUAUUUUUAAUUUUAUCGUCAUUCGAUUUUUUCAUCUAUCACAUUUGAUCCUUAUUCUUUUGAUUGUUAUUUUUUAUUUUUUUAAUCUUGAUCUUUUUCUUAAUUUUUUUAUUUUCAAUUUUGUCCCAUAUUAUUUGAUUUCAUUUAAUUUUUACACUAAAUUUGGUCAACAUUAUUUGAUUGCUAUUUUUUUAUUUUUUUAUUUUCUUAAUUUAUUUUAUUUUUCAAUUUUAUCCCUCAUUGUUUCAUUUCAUUGUUUUUUAUACCAGAUUUGAUCUCCAUUCUUUUAAUUGCUAUUUAUUUUGUUUUUUAAUUUUGGAUAAUUGAGAAUUUUGCUUCUUGAUUUUUUUAGGUUUACCUUUUAUAGGGUAAUCGGUCUCGUGAAUCAAAUUACGAGUUUUGAAAAUUAGCCCGAAUUGAUUUCAGUUUUUUUUUCUAGAUUUUUUUUAAUUUUAUCUUUCGACAUUAAGUUAUUGGGUCUUUAACUUUUUUGAUUUUUUUUAUUUUUUCCAUGUAUCUAUCCUGAUCUUAUAUCCUGGAUCACAAGUUAGUCGAGUUAACCCGAGUCAACUCAGGUUUUUUGAUUUUUUUUCUUUUUAGUUUGGCUUUUCAUUAUUUAGUUUGCUUUGAGAGUUAACCUCCACUGUUUUAUUCAGCUUCUUUUAUGCAGGGUUAUCCUGACCUCACAAGCAAACUGCGAGUCUAGCAUGCUAAUUAGAGUUAGGUUUUUUUGUUCUUUUUUAAAAUUGAUUUUUUUUCAAUUUAUCAUUCAACAUUUGAUUUGCUGGUAAUUAAGCUUUAAAUUUUUUUUUCUUUGUAAAUUUGUCUCGUUUUCAUUUAAUUUUUGUUUUGUUAUCAAAUAAUAUUGUUGAUAUUUUUUGAGAAUAUUUAAAAGAUAUCUUUUUAUAAUAUUAAUAAACAUUCAUUUUUUUAUUAGUCAUUGUUUAUUUUAUUUAUUUGAUUAUUGUUGGGUUUUUUUGUUAUAAUCAUAUUAUUAAAAUAUUUAAGUUUAUUGAAUGUAUUUAAAUUAAUGAUCCGGCCCCAUUUUUUAUUUUUUAUUUUGCUUUUUAACAAACAUUAUAGUCCCUUGGAGUAAAAAAAUCUGACCUUGUCUUGUCUACGUGCAAUCAGUUUUCAAAAAGUGUUGGCCCUUGUUUAUGGCUCAAAGUGAGACACCUGAACAUGCCGGCAUAGUCUCGCGGAUGACUAGAGGACAAGUAGCAACACAUUUUUGCUGUUAGAAAUGAUCAAAUACACAAACACAGCACCUUGAGUACAAAAUAUGAUGAUAUCAAGCGAUGUUUCUAUUUUUCUUAGGAAGAUUACAGACAUCAUGCAAAAUUUCUGACAAAACAGCAAACUUCGUAGAUAAACAAAUACAGUAUCUUGAGUACAAAACAUGAUAACAAGGGAGGUUUCUAUUCUUCUCAGGAAACAAAAUUUCCAAAAUUUGGAGAACUGGUGAAUCAUAAAGACACGGGAUGAGAAAACCAGAGAAGGAUAAUUGUUAAGACGGUAUAACACCAUUACCACCGAUGAAUUCUCCUCUUGCAUCCCAGGGACGCUUUUCAAAAGACUUUCCAAUGAUGCUGCGCUUCUCGUUUAUAGACCCAUCCUCGCGGCGAUAUUCUGGAAAGUAAUCCAAAAAUCCUUUACUGCCUAGUUCAUCAAGUCCAUUGAAGAGGAAGUUUCUAACCAAGUCCUACGGAAUAGAUGUGAAGCGAGCAUUGCAUCAGUACUUGGUGGCAAACAAUGCAUAAGAAAGAUUUGUUGAGAGUGAUUAUACCUUUGCAAGCCUUUCUCCAAUCAACCUUUUAAGAAUUCCAUGGCCAGGAUCCUGCUUCCAGAAUUUGCAUUAGCCAAACAUGUUGGACCAGAAAAGAGAGAAGUUUGAAACGGUGCCAAGAAUCUAUCUGCUUAAAUACUGUAAUUAUGGAAUUACAGUACUACAUAAAUGAUAUAUCUAUCUGAAGGUACCAGUAUGCCUAGUCAGUUCUGAGAGUCCGAGAAAGAGCAUGGGUUUGGAUAGGGCCUUAAUGCUAACAAGUCUAGGUACAAAGUUGAUUCUUUCCAGGCGUUUUCUUUCCUAAAACUGGGUAACCAAUUGGAAUUCAUCCUGCCUUGAAGCUAAAAUCCCUCUUCAAGAUGUUAGAUGCUCGAACAACGUUUUGUGGCAGAAAGCAUCUGUUUCUUUUUUUUAUUCAUUUUAUUCCAAAUGAAUUGCGAACUUAAUUAAAAUAAUAUAGAAAACAAGCAUUUUUCUGUCUUUCUUUUACUUCAAGGAACCAAAUUUCUUAUACAGUUAACCUAGAGAUGGCAAUUUGGCUCAAUUACGACCCUAUUAUUUUUUAGUAUUCAAAUGACCAUUUCUAAUCUAUAAAGCUAAAAUGCAUGGGCUUAAAAAAGCUUAUCACUGCCCAGCUGUUUGGCACUCAAAUUACAGUCACAGAUCUUACUUGAAACAUUUUCAAAUGAAGAAGAGUAGAGAACUGAAGACAUGCCAUGAUUACUUCCAAGCAUCUAAGCUUUUUUAAGUCCUACAGCCAAUGAGAAGAGACUGGCAGAUAUGAUGGGCCACAUGAAGAUGAGAUCAAAAGGGGAAAAAGACAUUAAAUAAUCACCUUUUCUUCUCUCCACGUUAGAUACUUAUGUUGCGCUUCACGAUUGAAUGUAAUAUGAGAUGCAUCUAUCUCCUCUGGUGCUUGGUCAAUCAGUUCAAGCCAUGCCUAAAAGAGAAGAGGAGAAUGAUAAUUGAGCAGCUAAAAUUGGAAUUCUACAUUUUAUUUGACACAUGAACUGCUAAAUCCAUGUGGAUUCCCAUCCCGUUUCCAGUUUAUAAUUUAUAUCUCAUCAUUAGCAUAUUAGCUUAAAUGUAAUUUAAAGCAGAAGCUAAAGCCGUUAAGCAACCUUGUAGUACUCUGUGAAAGCAGAAUAUAAAGCAUCAUAACUAUCCUGACUUGGAGGAAACUUGGUCCAUAUCACGAUCGGUGAGAAAAACUUCAAGGACUCGCUUGUGAGCUUUCCUCCCCAAGGAAAAAGCUGCAUGAAAUCUGUGUUCAGUCACCAUACCAUUAAUUUUAGACUGGAUAAAGAAACAAAUAACAAAUACCAUUGUGUGUAAUGUUCCACAAGAGGCAUUGAAGUUACCUUGCAAUACUUGAGGCCUAAAGGAAUUAAUCUCUUAAAGUACUUUUCCUUGUAGUCUCUUUGGUCAAUGACAUUGUGCAAGGGGUUGAGGUCCCUACAAUGGGUUAAAAGUUCCAGAAACCUUAGCACGUCAGUAAUUAAUUCCAGCUUACAGGAAUAAAAUCUUAAGUUCGAUGCCACAAGAAAAAGGACAAAAGAUGGCUCCUGGUUGAAACAAACCAACAAAAGGCAUGCAUGCAAAUCAAACUAGAAAGCGACAAUUAUUUUGUUUGUUUUUACGUUUCAAAAGCGUUUUUGAAAAAAAUUAUUUAUUUAUUUAUUGCUUUAAAUUAAUAUUUUUUAGUGUUUUUAGAUCAUUUUGAUAUAUUGAUGUCAAAAAUAAUUCUUAAAAAAUAAUAAAAAUUAUUAUUUUGAUGUACUUUCAAGUGAAAAACACUUUGGAAAGCAACCGCUACUACACUCCCAAACACCCAUUGACGAGCUUCAUUUCUUUUUCUUAUUCCACAUCAGAUUUGCGCAUAUAAAUUUCCAAGAGAAAUUCAAAGCAAUAGAAUGAAAAAAGGAAGCUGAACAGGAAAACAAAAAUCCAAACAGAAGCAUAAAUAAUUUUCCAUAUAAAGAAUAAAACAGGGUUUAGAAAAGCACAGAGAAAGGAAGAGAAGGGAGCUUACAACACAAUGAUGUUUAUGGUGGCAGUGGAGAAAAAGUUGGCACAAAAUAUGGGUACAUCAAAUUCAGGUCUGGCAAAAACAGCAAAAUCUAAAAUCUGCAUAAAUUUUCAGAGGUCAGUUAUUACAGAGGGAGGGAAACAAAAACGUUCUACGCCUCCAUCAAGCCAAAGAAUUUUUGUGGUGCUAGACAACGUGCAUAUAACCGUGCUGGAUACCUUUUGCACAGGAGGAUAAGAAUUUAACAUGAAUAGGAUAAGAGCAUAUUGCACUCAUGCUGCCAUGAGCCUUGUGAAGAACAAAUUAAGCUAAAUGAAUAUGAGUAGCAUUCCAAAAAAUCUCAAUAAUUUUCUUAAGCUAUAAUAAUAACACACAUGCCAAGGAUAAUUAAUGCCAAGUACAGGAGAUACUUCUUAUGCUGGCAGACAAAUGGACACAAACAAAGUCCAAAUAAUGGCAGUCAGUAACUUAGCUGUAAAAUGUAUAAUCGCAACAAAGAGCUCAAAUUAACGUGAUGCACUCAUGAGUUUUUCCCUCUAACACUUGAGGGUGCAAAAGUACAUAAAAGCAACAAGCUUGCUAGAGAAUGGUACCUGCAUCGCUUCAUUUUCAAUGCUCAAACUACGUAGGAGUCUGAUUUUGGGAGCUUGGAAUGAAAGCAUUUGAAGCUCUGUAGUUCCGUCCAUCGCAGUCAUGGAACUAUAUUUUUCCUAGACUCAAAAAAAGUUGUUCUUGUGAUACAUGUAUGUAAUCAUGAAAUAACAUUUAAAAUAAUUGAUUGUUUUUCAGCUGCCAAAGAGUUCGUUUCAUAGAAGCACAAAGAAUUUAUUUUAUUUUAUUUUGUUGAAAUUCAGUUUGCAAUGAGCAAUCAAUAACAGAAGAACCACAUGUUGUUUUUCCUUCUGCAGAAGCAAGAAGGCACAGUCAUCUGAAACAUAGCACUGAAAUAACAAAGGGUUCUUGACUCUAGGGUAAUCGAGUCUGUACUGGUGUCCUGAUGCUGUAUAAACCUUGAUAGCAAAUUGGAGAGCGAAUGAGAAACUAUUUUCAACUUUAUAACCAUCAAAGUCCAUAUUUGCACAACGACCAACAUCGAGUACAAUAGCCAAAAUAUGCAAGCAAAUCAAAACGGAAUCUUUUGGCUUAGAUAUUAAGCAUUCACUCUGCUAUAAGUUGCUGAAGAAAGACGCUCCAUCCCUUGCUCAAGUUUAACUCACGUUUUUGAAACAAAAUUCGACGAUGCAUAAAAUAAAAGAGGAAUUAAGUUUAAAAGAAAAAAAAAAGAAAAAAAAGAAGAAGAGUGUCUAAGCCCUUGGAAACCGAACAAACGAAACGACGAAAACGCACAUCUGGCGUAAGAACGAUACGAAGAUUAUACAUAUAAAAAAGGAUUAACAUAGACUUUGAAGGAUCAAAUGGCCCAAACUAUGACAAAUCACAGAAACAUUUCUAUGGAUCAGUCACCUCAAUUCCCAAGUUACAGACCAAAAAAGUUGCGAAAAGCUCUUAUAUAAUUCAAAAGCCAAAACCCAGCUUCAUUUUCAACCCUCUGAAACCCAAAACUGAGGAUUUAAAAAUAAAAACCCGAGGAGAAGGGCUCAAUUCAAAAGGCAACCCAUUUCUGCUUCCAGGCAAUGGAAUCCAUAAACACAGCAAGCAAGAAAGUGAAGUAAUACCUGGAGAGGAGAAGGGACCAAAAGGGCGUGUCGUUUGGUUUCGUUGAGAGCAAAAUGAAUGAACUUGUGGUAAGAAAAAGAACCUGCAGAGACUUUCAAGACACGAUGAGGUUUACACUUCUUGCUUGCGAAAUUAGUGGUGAUGCUACUAAAGAUUAAGCUGCUGGUUAAUAAUUGAGGUUUUAUUAGUGAAGAAGAUAAGCGCGCAGUUUGCAAAGAAGAACAGAAGUCCAUUGAAGUGAAGCUUUCACUGAAACUCUUAACACAUGAGCUCACCAUUUUCUUCGACAAAAGUGCUUCGUUUCUGUUGUUUACUGUAUUCUAACAUCACAUGUUGUCCUUGGCAAGUACUUUUUACUCCAUUUAUUUAUUCUGCACCUUUUUUUAGGCAUCGAAAUCGACGUUUCUUUCACUUACUUGUUGUAAUUUGUUUUUUACUCUAAAUCGAUAAAUAAAUAGGCAUGAUUUUAGCAUGUAUGUUAAAAAUAAUAUAUAUAUAUAUAUAUUGUUAAAUUUAGAUCAUUGAAUUUAUUGAUUGUUUAUAAUUUACUAGGCCUGGCGCUGUACACAAGUUAGAGCAAAAAAAAAAUUAAAGCAUUAAAAAAAAAUAGUAGUGACAUGUUUCUAAAAAAAUAUAAAUUUUAACUCUAAAUUAAGUAAUAUUUUUAUUUAAUAUAAAGAAGGAAAAAUAUUUGGUCUAUCUAGGAUAACAUAGAUUGACCUUUGAAAUUUACAAGGGUAAUAUUGAAAAAAAUAAAAUAAAAAACUCAAUACCGAAUUAAUUUAAUAUUAAAGAACAAAAUUGAUAAAAAAAUAACAUUUAAUUAAAAAAAACUAAGUAAACUCAUGUUGCAAGAAGUAAAUUCAUGAUGCAAAUCAUGUACAUCAUCAGAUUCAGUAAAUUUUUAUCCACAUGAUAUUUUUUUGGUAUGAAACAAUAUAUUUUCUAAAAGUUAAAAAAAAAGGUAAUAGAUACUGGAGCCGAGAUAAUAAAAAUAGAUUAAAUUUUUUCACUCUAAAUCGAUAAAUAAAUAGGCAUGAUUUUAGCAUGUAUGUUAAAAAUAAUAUACAUACAUAUAUAUAUAUAUAUAUAUAUAUAUAUAUAUAUAUAUAUAUAUAUAUAUUGUUAAAUUUAGAUCAUUGAAUUUAUUGAUUGUUUAUAAUUUACUAGGCCUGGCGCUGUACACAAGUUAGAGCAAAAAAAAAAAAUUAAAGCAUUAAAAAAAAAUAUUAGUGACAUGUUUCUAAAAAAGUAUAAAUUUUAACUCUAAAUUAAGUAAUAUUUUUAUUUAGUAUAAAGAAGGAAAAAUAUUUGGUCUAUCUAGGAUAACAUAGAUUGACCUUUGAAAUUUACAAGGAUAAUAUUGAAAAAAAUAAAAUAAAAAACUCAAUACUGAAAUUAAUUUAAUAUUAAAAAAUAAAAUCGAUAAAAAAAAUAAUAUUUAAUUAAAAAACCAAGUAAACUCAUGUUGCAAGUCAUGCACAUCAUCAGAUUCAGUAAAUUUUUAUUCCAAAUAUUAUUUUUUAUUUAAUAAUAUAACAAUAAAACACAUGAUAUUUUUUUUGGUAUGAAACAAUAUAUUUUCUAAAGGUAAAAAAAAAGGUAAUAGGUACCUAGAGUUGAGAUAAUAAAAAUAGAUAUUCUAAAUUGAUAAAUAAAUAGGCAUGAUUUUAGCAUGUAUGUUAAAAAUAAUAUAUAUAUAUAUAUAUAUAUAUAUAUAUAUAUAUAUAUAUAUAUAUAUAUAUAUAUAUAUUGUUAAAUUUAGAUCAUUGAAUUUAUUGAUUGUUUAUAAUUUACUAGGCCUGGCGCUAUACACAAGUUAGAGCAAAAAUAAAUAAAUUAAAGCAUUAAAAAAAAUAGUAGCGACAUGUUUCUAAAAAAAUAUAAAUUUUAACUCUAAACUAAGUAAUAUUUUUAUUUAAUAUAAAGAAGGAAAAAUAUUUGGUCUAUCUAGGAUAACAUAGAUUGACCUUUGAAAUUUACAAGGAUAAUAUUGAAAAAAAUAAAAUAAAAAAUUCAAUUCCGAAUUAACUCAAUAUUGAAGAAUGAAAUCGAUAAAAAAAUAGUAUUUAAUUAAAAAAAACGAAGUAAACUCGUGAUGCAAGUCAUGCACAUCAUCAGAUUCAAUAAAUUUUUAUCCCAAAUAUUAUUUUUUAUUUAAUAAUAUAACAAUAAAACACAUGAUAUGUUUUUGGUAUGAAAUAAUAUAUUUUCUAAAAGUAAAAAAAAAGGUAAUAGGCACCUGGAGCCGAGAUAAUAAAGGUAGAUUAUUAAUAGCAAAUAGUGAAAUUGCAUUUUUUUAGGUUUUAGUUAAAUAAAAAAAAAUAGACCAUCAAUGAUGAAAGAUGAAAUUGAAUUUUUUUUAAAACAAUUAUGGACAAAUAAGGUAUUAAACAAAAAAACAAAUAGUAGCCCAGAUAUUGUGGAUUAACCCAUUAAACUCGAUAACAAAUAAUAAAAUCAAUCAGUUCAAUAAUUUGUUUUAUCAUUUUAAAAAAAACAAAACAUAAAAUAGAAAAAAAAGCACCUAGGUUGCUUGGCAUGAGCGUCAAAACAAAACAACCCAAGCACAUGGGCCUUCUAGCCCACACCCGAGCUUAUUUUGUUUUUUAUUAAUACUUUUUAAAGAAAUGAUGACCUUCAUAUUUUUCUAUUUAAAAAUAGUAGACAUCACAUUUUCUGGUUCUAUAAAUUACUUGAUAUAAAUAAAAUAUAUUUAUUAAAACAUUUAUAGCAUGCUAAAGUCCUUAUUGGUCAAUAACAAUAAAAUUUAACCAAAUAUUAUUUAACUACUUUAACUAUUUAUAAACAUAAUAUAUUAAAAUAAUAUUUUUUAAAAAUACUUUUUAUUUUAAAAUAUAUUAAAAUAUUUUUUAGAUUAUUUUUACUUUUAAUAUAUUAAAAUUGUAAAAAAUAUUUAUUAAUUUAAUAUUUUUUAAAAUAAAAAACAUUCAUGGUAGUUAUCAAAGGCAUCAUUCAAUAGCACGUCGCAGGGCACCAAGUCAAAUACGAAACAGUCCCAAGACAAUAGCUAUACCAUAUUUAUUAAAUUUGGACUCGUCACGGGACAACUCAAGACUCGAGACCCGAUAGUUGGAUUAAUAUAGAUUAGGUAAAAGACUAGGACGGGCAAAAUCUAUUUGACCGGAUUGUUUUUUUUUUCCUUGCAAAUAUCUUUUUUUCUAGCUAGAUAUUUUUUAUAUAUAUAUAUUUUUUAGUUGGUUAUUAAUUUUUUUCAAAGUUUAUUAUAUAAACACUAAAAGAAUAUUUUAUUUUUUUAAUGUGGGAUUUGAAGUCUUUUAAUAUAUAUUACAAAAAAAAAAAUUAUGUUUUUUUAAUAUGGGAUAAAAAACCUUAUUGGUUUAAAUGCUUUAACUUAAAAGAUUCAGCUUAAAAGGAUAACAUACUAACAUAAUAUAUUUUCAAUGUGCGAUAAAAAACCUUUUAAAAUAAUCUUUUAAACUUUAUUAUUUAUAACAUGUAUAGCCUACACUCACAUGAAUUGUUUUUUAAUUUUCUUCAUAUGAAAUAUUAAAACUUCAAUUUUUUUUUAAUUUUUCCGGGUUGACCCGGGUCAACCCGUGUAACCCGGGACCCAGAUCCUUGGCCGGGUCAAUUCCCUAUUCGGGUUUGAUAACUAUGAGCUAUACCGGAGUUUGUACUAUUAAAAGACAUGUUUGUUUUUGUAUUUUAAAAGUAUUUUUUUUAAAAAAUGAAUUUGUUUUUUAUUUUUUUUUUACUUUAAAUUAAUAUAUAUAUAUUUUUGUUUUCAAAUGUGUAUUGAUAUCAAAAAUAAUUUUUUAAAAAUAAAAAAUAUUAUUUUAAAAUAUUUCUAAAUUAAAAACACUUUAAAAAAUAACCACGAUCAGCCUUCCAAACAACUCAUCUGUCUUUUUUCUUGCCUUACCAGGGAGAAUUGGGAGCCGUGUUUGAGGUGUAUCCUUGAAAUCUUCCUCUGCAUGAAUUGAUUUUGACAUCCACUUGUCUGCAGGCUUGUUUUGGUGUGGUCUGCUUGCAAACUUUCUACACAGGUAAAUCUCUUGAAGGACUGUUCAUCUAUUUUGUGAGGGAAGGCAGCUUUCCUUCGAAACAUUUCAACACCGAAGGCUCUUUUCCUUUUCAGGAUUAAUGUGCUCGUACAGUCGCCGUGGAUAUUUCAGAUUAGUGCCACUGUCAGUAACUCACUGAUACUGUUCCUGUACAGUAUCAGGAGCAAAAAAUGAGUAUCUUUUUCGCACUUGUAGAACACAUCCCCUCAGGUGGAAAAGGCAUUGAUGGAAAAAGUUGCUCUGAAGUGCGUUGCUCACUGCUAUUUAUAGAUAUGUACCUCGAGAAUGCAAGUUAGCAUUUUAGACAAGAGCACAGGCUGAGGAAAAAGCCAGAAGAAAAUAAUCCAGAAGAGGAAGGGCUGUGGGAGAAGGAUCAAAUUGUAGCAAAGGAUUCACAGUGCCCCUGACAUUAGAAAAUAAUCCUUAUUCUGUUUUUGUUUAAGAUUUGUCACUUAUUCUUUUAUAUUGUUAUUUUUAUUUUGAAACCUUUUGUCAAAUUGAGUUUUGUUUUUAAUUUCCCCCUCUACUUUGGAUUUAUUAAGAAUCGAGAGUCAUAAUUUUUUUUUAAUUAAGUUGCAUCAAGUUUAUGAUAAAUAUCAUGAGUUUAAAAAGUUAAUUCAUAUAAUAUUCAUCUUUUAUUUAUUUAUUAUUGUUUUUUUUAUUUUACUAUUUGAAUUUAAAUUUUAUGAGGUUAUAUUAAUCUCUUUAUCUUAAUCAUCAAACGAUUUAUUUGUUUAACAAGCGUUCACUCUAGACUUUUUUUUGGGUUAGUUCUUUCGGUUUCAUCAUUUAUUAAUUUUUUUUUGCAUUUUGCUUCAUAAUUGUUUUCACUUGCCUUUUAUUUAUCUGAUUAUUAUUUUGAUUGAAGUAAGUUAAUCUGCGUUUAUUGAUUAUUUAUUUUUAUUAAUUGAUUUUUUUAAAAAAAAUUAAUUCAUCCACAUUAAAUUUAUUAAAAAUUAAAACUGAUAUAUAUAUUUUUUAAUUUGGUUUCUAAUUUGUUAUCUAACCUGAAUAGAUUACGGGUUUUUAUAGAUGCACUCAGGCUUACUUAGUCAUAUCCCCUCCUUUUUGACGAUUUUCUUCCUACCAUGCUUAAUUAUAUUUGAAAUGUAUCUUUCUUCUUCUCUUUUCCUUUCGUAAAUGCUUUUUAUUUUUAUUUUUAUCAUGAUUUUUUUUUGUCAUUUUAUUCUAUUCCAUCGAGUCAAUGAAAUAAUCGUGAGUUUUUGUUACGUUUUUUUGAAGCACUUAUAAUAUCUUUACAUUUUUAUUUAAUGCUAAGAUUUAUUUUCCCUUAGCUCGGUGUAGGGUAGGCAUUAGGACGUUAUAAUUACAGUUUUUCAAAGUGUUUUUUAUUUAAAAGUAUAUUAAUUUUUUUUUUAUUUUUAAAAAACUAUUUUUAACACCAACACAUUAAAAUGAUUUAAAAAUAAAUAAAAAAAUAUUAAUUUAAAACAAAAAAAAAUAAUUUUUUUCCUUCACCUUGUUCUCUCCCGUAUCUUAAGUUUUUUUGUUUUACAUUUACGUACCUGUUCAUUGAAGGAUCCCCACAUAAUCAAGAGUACUUAUUUUGCAGGUAUACAACCACCUUCUUCACCUUCGAUCAAUUUCCAUCCAGCCUUAGAGUUUCACGACUUCAUCGUGUUUCACCAUGGCUUGGCUAAGCAACGGCAGCAACAAGUGAUCAAUAUAAAUACUAUAAUAUUCCAACAAAGUUCCAAUAGCCAAAGGGAAAAUAACAUUCUUUGAUUUAAUUGUAAAGUUCAAAUAAAUCUUACAAAUGUAUCAAAACGAAAUAAAAAUAAAAGGGGAUUAAAUCUGAAAUAAAAACAAAAUAAAAAACAUUUAAAUGAAAAUUAAAAUAAAAAAUAAAUUUAAAGUUUUCAAAAGAAAUCAGGAUGAGAAACAUGCAAUAAUAAAAAACAAGAGAACUAAAUUAGAAACUUAAAAAAAUAGGAAGGCAUCGUAGAUUAUUUUUUAUCAAGCGGCUUCUUUUUUGAGAAGAAAAGAAAGGAAAAGACGGUCUUAGCCGCACCAUUUCAUUUGAAAGGAUGCUCUAGGAAUUCUAAUGCCGUUAUGGGUUGUCAAUUUCUGACACUGUACAACUCUGCACGCGCCAUUAGAAGUGUACAGAAUCACCCGACAAACACACGCGUUAAAUAUUUUUAUACUUAUUAAAAUAUCAAAUUAUUCAUAACUUGACCUGGUCUGGUUAUAACUAAAAAUAGCACACUGUAGAAAUCCUGAUAAGGAUGCACUGUCCUCAAAGCAUGCAGCAAUCAAUAAACACCCAUAAUCCCACGGAUAAAGGAUGUUCCAAGAACUCAUAAGAACCGACAAACAGGCAACGAGGAGAAGACGAACGUAUAAGGAGAUCAGAGCACCAAAAGAUCAGACAAACAGGAACAGCAAACCAGAAGGAGAGCAGUUCGUCAGUACUGACACAGCAUGAAGACCACACAAACCUGCAUAUAUAUAUAUAUAUAUAUAUAUCCCAUCAAAUCCAUUUAAGUUAAACCAGCAAGAUGGUCUCAAAGAACCCAGCAUAAAAGAACAAGGAAACAAAAGAUAACGAAAAGAAAGCAACAAAAAUGGGCAAAAAGAAGCACCAUCAGGAACAAUGACAGAGAAAUAGAAUGAACAGAAAAACCAAUGAGCCAGACCUAAGACGGAGGCAUGAAAGAGAGUAAAAAGGAGAAGCAGAUGAACCUACCUACGCGACCCAAGCCAAAAAAAAAAAACAGAGAGAGGAUGUGAAAGCAUGGGAAGCCCUAGGACAACAGUAGCGUGAUAUAACAAAAAAACAAUGAAACAGAACCUGAAAUGAUAAAAACUUAAAAGGGCAAGUAAAGUCCAUCUAAAAUGAACAAUAAAACUAACCAAACCAGAAGAGUACUGAAAAUCACAAACUUGUCAACAACCACACAGCUUGUGAGCGCAAAAAAAUGAGAGGCCUGGAACUGGAAUUCCCCAGUCAACAGUCUAGAUCAUGCAGACGUCCAAUCAAACCCAAUAAUCAGCAGCUCUUCCAAUGUUAAAGAGCGGCCAAGUGGGCAUUGCAUUUAAUGCAUAAUCAUGAUCCCGGGUCGUUUUCUCUAAGGUAACAGACACGACCGAAAUAAAAUAACCCCACCCACAGCCAUUUUAAGUUGUGUUUUUUUAAGGUUAACGUUGUUGUUGGUCAAGUUACAUGGAUUUUAAUUAAUUUUAUUGAUUUUAAAAUUAAUAAUUAUAUAAAUUUUUAAUGACAUUAAAACUUAUAAAAUUUAAAUCCAUGAUUUUUAAAAAACAAAUUUAGAAUUUGAUUAGUUAAGUUGAAGCUGAACACACAACACCCAAAAAACCCAGCCCUCCAAGGCUCGAAAGGAAGCGCCAACAACCCAAGGCGCGAUGAGAGCAAUGGAAAGCCGCACCGUUAAGAAAAGCAAACCCAGCCGAGAAAAAGAUAAAGUCGCCACCAUGACUGAACCACACUGCACGGUGAAUGGUUGGUAAUUAUAACAGCGAUAAUAAUUUAAAGUAUUUUUUAUUUAAAAAAAUAUUAAAAAAAUAUUUUUUUUAUUUUUUAAAAAUUAUUUUUAAUAUUAAUCAAUCAAAAUAAUCUAGAAAUAUAAAAUAAAAAAAACUUUAAUAAAAAAAAUUCAAAAUUUAAGGGCUAGAAUCAUCCCACAACCUUGGAAAGAUGAGGCAACUAGAUGUAUUGUGCAAUUCCACGGUUAACUGAGUUAUGGCCCUAUGGGAGCAGUUUUUGUCUUUGCGGAAUAAAUCGUGAUUUUUCAAAUUAUGAUUUUUUUUAAAAUCUGAAAUUAUUUUUUUUUAAUUGUUUUGAUAUAUUAAUAUUAAAAAUAAUUUUAAAAAAAUAAAAAAUAUUAUCUUAAUAUAUUUUUUUUAAAAAAACAAUUUAUUUAAACACUCUAAAACACCCCUUAUGUACAGUAUCGAUCCACGUAGUAUUUUUCCAUACUGUUUAGAGUUUUUUUUUGUUAAUUUUUCACUGGACAGGAUGUGCCUUUGAUACAAAAAGAAAAGGAGAAGAUGCGCCGUGGUGCCCAGAAAGCAAUAAAUGGUUCAACAAUUGGAUUAAAAUUCAUAAGUUGAUAUUGUUGAAUAAUUAACGACUGAAUAUCACCAUGUUUUUUGUUCACCCAAUAUCAAGAUUUGUCACUCCUGUAAAAUGAGAAGUUGAGACAAGCAAAGAAGCUUGUUUACA